UAAGGAGGCGCCGGCAACGGUGUUAAGGGCGCACAGUCCGCAGUAAUCGACUGCAUUCUAUUGUUCCUUUCUCGUUUGAUUAAAGUAGCUGAUCUGAUGCGCGGUAUUAUUAUUCUUGGCGUCUUAAGAUUAUGAGGUAGUUAGCCAUAAAGUAUCAUUCAUCCUUUUGUUGGCCUAUUGCCUACUCUGUCGUGUACCAGCAGUAUUAUUUUGGAGCCGAGACCUUGAUAUUUCAGACUUGGUUGGGUGAAUUGGUCGUGUGUGUGCUGUUGCAUUUUCCAUGACGAAAUCAUCAUAUAGCAUUAUUAUUUAAUCUUUGUGCUGCUCAGCAACUUGAGGCCUUCCUAUUUGUAUCAGAUCUGUCAGUCAGGAUCGUUGUAUGACUGGAACGUGUUAAUGGAAUUUACUCUUGUUAAUGGCUCGAUGGCAUCUGGGCACCAAUAGUAAAGCGAAGACUUUGUGGAAACUGCCAGGCGCAGGACGCACCACCGUUCCUGGCUGUUGCUUCCGGGUCUUGCUCACCAGUCACCACGGCCGGUGCGGCAUUGCCGUUCGCAUAUCGUUGUUCCCGAAAUCCUUGAGUUGUACCGGCAAGCAGCUCAGUCCCGCGCAAGUGGGCACACGGAACAGUAACCACCACCUCCCUGCAGGAAGGUGUUGAACUAAGCAGCCCGAUUGAUUGAAGGAGUCUUGCUCUCGAUGACAUCUACUUAACGGCUAGUUGUUGAGGUGUAGUCCUCGUCUCUGAGCACGACAGCUGCCUCUUCCAAACUCGCGUGGCCGUGUGUAUCUUAUGUUGUAAAAUAAAACAACAACAACUAGAAGAAGAAAAUUAUCGUUUGGCCGGACUGCAUAUUAUGCUUCCUAUACAACUGGAGUUCUGAAUUGGCCUGGUGGCAUUUGGACGGUCGCUGUAUGGUUAUGUCUACUAUAGCGUUAUACCAAUGCAAGCCAUCCAUGUGUUGGUGGUCUCACCAGCUUGCAAAUAUCUAACUGGCUGCAGAAUUUCGCGCGGAUUUGUUAAUUCCGGAGAUCCUAACAACACCAUCAGCUUUAUUUCUUUUUUAGCUCCGCAUGGUGACGAUAUCUUUUGUUUAGAGAAAAAAUAAAACGUAGGCCUCCAUAAGAAAUCCACUAUUUAUAGUCGCGCGCACCACCUUCCCUCCCCAGCCUUGAGCCUUGUCUGGUGCUUGUAGAGAGGAGUAGAGCCAUGGAGUCUGACACGAUCCAUGCACCCGCCACCUCCUCUUCCUCCUCCUACUCAUCCGACUCGGCUGUCAUCAAUGGCGCACAGGACGUUUCCAAGGGUGAGCCCAAGCAUCUGAAGCGCAAGAGACAGACCGCCACCUCUCCUGCUGCUCCAGCCACCGGCAGCCAAGAGGCGGAGUCUGCCGACGGCGCCUCCCGGGGUGAGGAGAGCAGCAGCUGCGCCGCCGCCGCGGACGAGCGCACGGCCGGAAGGCACCCGUCGUACCGCGGCGUGCGGCGCCGGAGCUGGGGCAAGUGGGUGUCGGAGAUCCGAGAGCCGCGCAAGAAGUCGCGCAUCUGGCUCGGCACCUUCCCGACCGCGGAGAUGGCCGCGCGCGCGCACGACGUCGCCGCGGUCGCCAUCAAGGGCCACCGCGCGCACCUCAACUUCCCGCACCUCGCCGACGCGCUCCCACGCCCGGCGUCCACCUCCCCCGCCGACAUCCAGGCCGCGGCCGCCCUGGCCGCCGCCCAAUGCGAGCCUCCCUCCUCCGUCGCCGAGACCACGGAGACGCCGACGACGUCGACCGAGACAUCGGCCGCGAGCUCCGGUACGGCCGGCUGCGGCGAGGAGAACGCUCUGUUCGACCUGCCCGACCUUCUGCUGGACCUGAGGGACGGCCUCUGGUGCUCGCCUACCUGGGCGACGGCCGCCGACGAGUACGACGGCGGCGAGGCCGCGCUGCAUGAGCCGCUGCUGUGGGUGGAGCAGUGCUGGACCUAGCCGCUCCGUUGUGACGCGCGGGCCAUGCCUGGCCAGAAGAGAACACCCGUAGACAUGGGCAUGUACACUAGCGUUUCAUUUUUCCAAUUAAUUUGCGCUUUUGCUUCGCGCCAUGCCAGGCCUGUCAUCUUGGGGUGGCAAGUCGUUUUAGCUAGACAUUUCACCGUUUUGUUCACGGUGUGUACUGUAUCCCGAAAUGUGAAAUCCAAACCUCUCAAAAAAGAAAAGAAGUGAAGGAAAUACGAAAUACCCCCUCUAAACUUUUAUAGUGACCUAAAACAUCUUAUAAAAGUUUACAGAGGGAGCACAAUCUACUUCCUCGGUCUCGAAGUCUCAAACACUCGAUCAAUAAUAAUGUCCUUAUGUUCAAGAAAGGUAUAUUUCCACACUGUAAUCCUUCCUUUGGUUUUAACAACUGAACUACACAUUCGCCAGCACAAUCACCUAUCAAUUCGAGGUUACGAAAGCAGUGAAGCCCCCUCUCAUUGAGAGGGUUGGAUGUCGAGCAGUGGCCCUGGGUUGGUGAUGUUUUGUGUGACGAGGCGGCGGCCUUGGGAACCAUUGCAGGUAGCAACUCUAUGAGGCCGGCGGUGUCUUGACAAUGGCUUGCUUGACAAAUCAUUUGCUGCUAGUGCGGUGGGGUUCUCGGCUCGGUUGAUGCGCCUUGGAGGGGUGGUCAGACUAUAUGUUGAGAUGACCACCACGGAUGUGUUGGUGAGACGGUCAGGGUCUGUAGGGCGUCUUCCUUGGGGAAAUACCCAAUGGUUCCUGGGUACAUAUGUAUCUUAUAUGGAGAAUUUUUUUAAUGAUUAAACAAAAAGUCAAAAUAGUUAAGAAACUAUUUUUAGAGUAAACUUGACUUACUUGCGCACUAGUAUAUGAAUUUUCACAAAAAAAGAAACUACGUUGACUUCACAGCGAAAAAGACAAAAAAUAUUUGCUAUUAUAGGUCACUGUUCAUGCUUUUUUGACUGAAAAUUUGUCUUUUUUGAAAAGAAGUCAAAGAGGAAUUUUAUUUUGUUGGAACUUUUCUUACUAGUACAAUGGAAGGUCAAGUUUUUUUUCAAAAAUAUUUUUAGAAAUUUUUGACUUUUUAUUGAAUUACUAAUUUUUUUCUUCAUAUAGGGUACAUAUGUACCCAGGAACCAAACGUUCCCGUCCGUCUUCCUUGUGUAGCUUGCUGCAAGCAGUUGUGUUGUGCGUCGCUGCAACUCGGUGGCGAGCAGAGGUAUGCUGGGGCAAUGACCCUGGAAGGUGGUGUCGAAGAACUAUGCUCAAUGUUCCGAAGAGGUUAGGAGACUUAACAUGUAUGGUAUUGGCCUUGUGGAGUGUUUGCUUUGUCACCUCUGCACAAGAUUUCAAGUCUGCUCCUCCCAUUGCAGUCUCGUCUUCUUCUGUCUGGCCGCGGUGAGAGCUAGUUUCGAUGAAAUAGGUUUCCGUUCAUUGUGUUUAUGAGGUUGGUAUGCUUUUGUCGAUUUUAAUUCGGUGUCAACGAGGGUGAGGUUGACCAUAAAUGUAUAAAUUUUCACCCGAUUUUUACAAUUAACCGGGUAACCAAUUUUUUAAUUAAUGGAACAGACAAAGCUUUUGGUUUGGUUCAAUAAAAAUUAAUGGGAUAAUAAUAACCUCUUCAACUACAAGCAUGUGGCGUAUUAAGGAUACCGGUUAACAAAAAAAAAGUUGACAUGUAAAACAGUCGUUAAAUUUUACCUUGAUACUUGUAAUCUGAAUUUGUGGCCUUGUAUAAGAAAAUGGCACGUCUGUUUAGUACCCAUGUUGACUAGCUAUAUGGCAAGCAUGUGUCAUGUAGUAAAAGUGAAUGAAAAUUUCACCGGUAGGUAUGAUAUUUCAAAGUUUAGCACCAUGCUUUAUUAAUACAACAUAAUUAUUUCCUUAUUUACUUAUUUGUAUAAAGAGAAAAGUCCAUUUUAACAGUCAUCGCAUAACGCAAAAUGGAUUCAUAAUAAUUAGGACCAUCCUAAAAUUCUACCACAACACCAAACACAACUAUAUUCUGAUCACUCCCGACUUAGUUUCCCAUUCGAUAUCAUACUUUUCAUCGUAUUUAUGAUUUGACGCUCAAUAUUAUGGCCUCAGUACUCAAGAACAAAAGGCACGUGUUUACACCAAAAUCUUUCACUAAGUCUUACUUUUUUCUUCAAAAAGGAGGUUAAAACCUCCUGCCUUUGCAUCAAUGCGAUGCAUACAACCAUUUUUAUUAAUUAUUCAGCAGAGUACAAAACGAAGGCAAUCAUGGCUGAGCCAUUAGAAAAUAUGAAAUUAACACCUACGAUUAAGUCGAGUUCUUUCGUAGCAGCGCCUUCAAGAAGAUAUACACUCGUCGCUGCUGAGCCCGAUCAAUUAUGGUCAGGACAAGAGUUUUCACCCCGGAAAUGAAGCGGUGUUCCAAUCAGCAUCUUGAUGAUAGAUCAUUAGAUAGUCGCCUUCGUCAGGACUCCACGCCAGUGCCAAACGACACUAGCAGAUUGGUGGGAUGCCUUCCCACCUUAAACCACCGUCACGGCCGUCGGGUGGAUGCUCAUGUCUCAACGUGGAACUGGCCGCUGCUACUCCACACCGGCGCCAGUCACACUGCAACAUGCUCCAUACCGUUGGAGCCGCUUCUUCGGAGCUAGAAGUCGACGGGGAACCACCACUGUGCCCCUUGCUCACUAGCGUGUGUGACGCCCCGAGACCGAUAUGCCAGGCGUCUUCCAGUUAUUCGCUGUUGUUGUCUUGUCAUUCGCUUGCGUGUUGCAUCUUGUCAUGUCAUCAUGUGCAUUGCAUCAUCACGUUUUCAAAACUUGCAUCCGUUCCGGUCUCCUCGUUCUUUCCGUUGUUCGUUCUAAGCCCGACCAUACUUGCACGCGCCCACGGCUUGUCCGAAAUAGUAUUUUAUAAGUGGCCGGAAAAUGUUCUUGGAUUGGGUCGAAAGAUGGCGUGUGGUCUUAUUAUAGUGUAGAUAGACCACCUGUCAAGUUUCAUCGCAUUCGGAGUUCGUUUGAUAGCCUAACCGUUAAACUAUAGCGGCAUUAUAGCAGGUCUAACGUCGGACGUUUUCAGUCUUCAGAAACAGUCGCGGGCCUCUCUCUCUUCUCUUCUCUCAGCUCGAGCCCUUCUGCACAGCCCACAAGUUCCAACCAACCCCUCGCGUGCGUGUCCGAAACUUCCCCGGACCCGACCCGGACAGUUGUCACCGUUGGGUCCAGAUCAUCCCCAAACAUCUACAAAAUGUCUCCGUUUCUUAUUUAGAUUUUCCUAGCCUAUCUAUUCUCAACCGUCGGAUUUUGAUCGGAUGAUCCAACUCCCCCUUUUUUUCCAUAUAUAUAUAUAGGCCCUGUUUGGAUACUCUAACAUAGUUAGAGUUAGAGUUAUUUUCUAACCCACUCUAACCCAAAUAAGCAUCUCUCCACCGGGAUAGUUGGGUUAGAUGGAACUAACCCACUCUAACUCUCUCUGUUUGGAUACUUUUGGAUUAUUUAAGACUCCAACUAACCCAAACUAGCUCUAACCCCAUGAUUCAAACAGGGCCUAUCCCUAGUCCAUUUUGGACAACCCUAAUUUCUAGGGAUCCUACCCUAACGCCGCCGCCCACUUUCUCCUCAAUUUCAGCGCCAGGCCAAUCACCUCACUCCGUCCAUCUCCCUCGAUUUGCGUCGCCACCCAACCACUGCGAAAGCCGAAGCCUCCAUCUUCCCCGAUCCAAAAGCCUCCACCUCCUCCCUUCGAUUCGUCGUCGUACAGAUCGAGCAGGACGCUCGAUCCCCAGCCACCUCUCUGCCCGAGCCCCUCCUCUGCUCCCAGACGCCUGCACCCCGCUAAUCCCCGCGUCGCCCCGUCGCUCGCCGGAGACCAGGGUCGCCGGAGGCCGCGGCCACCUCUCCGUCCAGCAGGUUCACCGCGUCGGACUCCGCCGACUCGCCGGACUCCACGUGCAGGCCUGCCUCGAUGCCCCUCUCCUUCCCUUUCGUCUCGCCCUCGCCUGUUCACCAUCUCCCUCUCUCCUGCAGGAACCCGGGAGCUCGAAGCCAUGACCGCCGCCGCCUCGGAUCCUUCUCAUCUGUCGCCGGAGCUCCGUCCACUGCUGCAUCGCCCGGAUUCGGUCGCGCGGGACCGGAUCCAUCUAUUCCCGCUUCGUCUCUGGCCCCAGUUGCCUCCCAGCGCCCUCCCUCAUCGCCGGAGUUUGCCGGCGUCGUUAGCUUCAGUUCCCUGCUCCAGAUCGAGCGAACGAGAAGACCGCGCGCGUUGACCCCGCGAUCAAGGCCCGCCUCCAGUGUCAUCGUGGGCCGCGUGAGCAAGGCCUAGCCCAGCCGCUGAUAGAUCCUAACCGCACCACCGAACGGGCCAAGCCCGUGGGUGAGCAGGCCCUCCCUCCAGCCUCCUGUGCAUCUGGACCAGCAGUUUUGGCCCAUGUCAUGUCUUUUUUCCUCUAGACGAUUUUGUCUAUUAUCCAGAGUUUUGCCAGUUUUACAGUAUAGCCCCUAAACAUCAUGCAUUUUAUAACUCUCCAACCGUGCAUCGGAUUAAAACAAACUUAAUAUGAAACUUGCUUAGAAUUUCAUCUACUUUAAUAAUAUGCAAAUUUCAUCUAUGUUUAAAAUGUUUAAAAUAUUGUUUGAUUAAAUUUGCUCCUAUGCCAUGUUAAAAAUGAUUUAAUUCAUAACUAAAUAACCGUAGCUCCGAUUUUAAUAAACUUUAUAUGGAAAUGGGGUGGAAAAAUGUCUAGUUUAUCAUGGUGGAAUCACUUUGCAUCAUGCCAUGUUCAUGUGUUGGCUGUUUACUAUGUUGUGUGCUUCUUUCUGGUGUUGCUUCUUCAGGUUGGUUCCAAUAACGUCGCGUUUGUGAGGACCCAUUCGACUACGUCCAUUUGUCUUCUUCAUGGACUCGUUCUUCUUCCUUGCGGGAUUUCAGGCAAGAUGACCAUAUCCUUGAAAUCACUUCUAUCUUUGCUUGCUAGAUGCUCGCUCUUUUUUUAUGUCUAUGCUGCGAUACCUACCACUUGCUUAUCAUGCCUCUCAUAUUGUUAAGCCAAGCCUCUAACCACCUUGUCCUAGCAAACCGUUGUUUCGCUAUGUUACCGCUUUGCUCAGCCCCUCUUAUAGUGUUGUUAGUUGCAGGUGAAGAUUGGAGUUUGUUCCUUGUUGGAACAUGGAUAUUUUUGUUGGGAUAUCACAAUAUCUCUUAUUUAAUUAAUGCAUCUAUAUACUUGGUAAAGGGUGGAACGCUCGGCCUUUUGCCUGGUGUUUUGUUCCACUCUUGCCACCCUAGUUUCCGUCAUAUCGGUGUUAUGUUCCCAGAUUUUGCGUUCCUUACAUGGUUGGGUUAUAAUGGGAACCCCUUGACAGUUCGCCUUGAAUAAAACUCCUCCAACAAGGCCCAACAUUGGUUUUACCAUUUGCCACCUAGCCUUUUCUUUCCCUUGGGUAGGCCUGCCCAAGGGUUAUCUUUAUUUAAACCCCCGGGCCAGUGCUCCUCUGAGUGUUGGUCCAACCUGUCAGCAGCCGGUGGCCACCAGGGGCAACUCUGGGCUGGCCUACCGGAACCUUGGACAAUCCAGUGUGCCCUGAGAACGAGAUAUGUGCAGCUCCUAUCGGGAUUUGUCGGCACAUUCGGGUGGCUUUGCUGGUCUUGUUUUACCAUUGUCGAGGAUGUCUUGUAACCGGGAUGCCGAGUCUGAUCGGACUGUCUUGGGAGAAGGAAUAUCUUUCGUUGACCGUGAGAGCUUGUGAUGGGCUAAGUUGGGACACCCCUGCAGGGUUUUGAACUUUCGAAAGCCCUGCCCGCGGUUAUGGGCAGAUGGGAAUUUGUUAAUGUUUGGUUGUAGAAAACCUGAAGUUUAUCUUAAUUAAAAUACAUCAACCGCGUGUGUAGCCAUGAUGGUCUCUUCUCGGCGGAGUCUGGGAAGUGAACACGAUGUUGGAGUUAUGUUUGAACGUAAGUAGACUUGGAUCACUUCUUGAUCAUAGUUUCUCGACCGUGCUUUGCCUUCUCUUCUCGCUCUCAUUUGCGUAAGUUUAGCCACCAUAUAUGCUAGUCGCUUGCUGCAGCUCCACCUCAGACCUUUACCUUACCCAUAAGCUUAAAUAGUCUUGAUCGCGAGGGUGUGAGAUUUCUGAGUCCCCAUGACUCACAGAUACUUCCAAAACCAGAUUGCAGGUGCCGAGGAUACCGUGCAGAUGACGCAACCAAGCUCAAGGAGGAUCUCAAUGAAGAUCUUGUCAUUUGUGUUGUUUCAUUCUAGUUGAUCAGUAGUGGAGCCCAGUUGGGGUCGAUCGGGGAUCUGUGUAGCUUUUGGGGUAGUCUUCUUUUAUUUUGGUUCCGUAGUCGGACCUUGAGUGUAUCUGGAUGUAUGUAAUGCUUUAUUCAUGUAAUUGUGUGAAGUGGCGAUUGUAAGCCAACUAUGUAUCUCUUUUCCCUUAUGUAUUACAUGGGUUGUGUGAAGAUUACCUCACUUGCGACAUUGCUUUCAAUGCGGUUAUGCCUCUAAGUCAUGCUUCGACACGUGGGGGAUAUAGCCGCAUCGAGGGCGUUACAAGUUGGUAAUCAGAGCCUUCCCCGACUUUAGGAGCCCCCUGCUUGAUCGAAUCGCUGGCGUUGUUGAGUCUAGAAAAUUGUUUUGAGUCAUUUAGGAUUAUAUAUAUCGGAGAGUAGGACCUCUUUUUACUCCUUAGUCCCUUCGUCGCUCUGGUGAGGCAUCCUGACGUAGAGUUUUGACUAUUCUGUUCUCAAAUUUCACUAAUUUUUUUUAGGAUCACGCGGGUAUCUUGGAAUCGUUCCAAUGAUUUUGUGACAAGAACAUUGUUCUUGGUGCCUCCUGACAUUUAGGGGUUGUGGCAGUGUCCCGGGGAGUUGAGCUCCGAGGUGUUGUCGUCACAAUUUUAUCGUUGCAGUUCUGGAAUACCUGAGUUUCGCCGACAUCGAAAAUCUCUUUUAUGCAGUUGUUGGUGAGAUAACCUCGACGCCACCCAGUACUGGGGCGGGAGUUCGGGAGUAUUGCCAUAACUCGUAUAACGGGUGCUUUUCGAAGGUUGAGGUAAAUGAUUUCCGAAGGUUUCUUGGUUAUGUGUUGAAGGAUGGAUAUAGCUGGACGUAGGAUUUGCUAGUUUUGGGUGAGAUAUUAUGCUUCCCCUGUAUCCCCAACACCUGAUUGCAUAACCGGAAAGUUUCAGGAGUUUAUAAGUGGGAAUUCAAGUAGCUCCUAGGAUAUCUUUCCGACAGAUGUGUGAUAUGAAGUUGGGGUUCGACGUCUAGUGGUCCGCCUAUCCACGGUUGGUUUUACAGUGGUCUCGUUGUGUGUUAAAGAGUCCUUGGCUAUGCUGACUCGGGGACGCUUCGUAUGUCAUGUGCACUGCCUUGUACAUGAUGGUGUUGUACGAUCAAGCCCGUGUAGGCCCCACCACGAAAACUUCGGACGAAAUCUCUAUCAUAUGUUUGUUCCGGCUUAUUUUGCAAGCCAAUCCUUUGUUUUGUUUUUGAGUUGUGAUAUUCGAGUUGCUUCGAAGUCAAGUGUUGAUUCCAUACCUUUCCUAAACGGUGUUCUCAUACUCCGAUGUGAAUACUAAUCCUUCAUGAUAAUCGAGAUUGUCAUGUCAAUCCUUUUCAACCGGCGCGUUUCCCUUCAAGUGGAUCCGAUCAUUUCAUCAUCCGCAAGAUCAACUCAAGCAUUCAUAUCGGUGUUCGUUUCAUUCUCAACUGUGUUUUCCCACCCUCCCACCCUUGUUUUUCUUGAAGGAUUCAGAUUUCUUGAUCAAGUAUCCAUCUUAUUGAUGUGAAGUCUCUCCAUUCUUUUCCUUCAAUGUUCUUAUCCGGUGAUUCUCAUGAAGAUACUAACGGAGCCUCAAGUUCAUCAUUAUUUGUUUUUUUCUUCUCCGGUAGAACCAAUUCAAGCUUUUGGUGUUGAUCAUAUCAUUUCCUCGUUUCAAAUACCUACUCAUGCCGGUGCUCAUCAUAUUCAUUCAUUUCUCGCUAUUCAAUUAUUCCGGAGUGCUGAAGAUAUCUCGAAAGGCUCGUCUUGUCAUUCAAGAUCCGUUCAACCUAUUUCGAGGUUGUUAUCCCAUUCAAGCCAUUUGAAUCAACCGGUGCAAUCUCUUUUCAAAAUUGUUCAAUGGUAUAUCUUUUGAGUGGGCCCUAACCCACAGGUGUUUUCCCAGGAUCUUACCUGACUCUUCUAAUUUUCACCGGAGGUAUUCUCAAAUUCUUUCCAAGUUUGACGUAAGAAUGUUUUGUCAUCAGUCAUAUGUGUCUCUCCAAGAUCUUUCAAUUCUUUUCAUCAUUGGUUCAACCUUUCCAAUUUUAAUUCCGGAGUGCCUCAAUAAUUCUUGGUGGUGUUUCUCGUCGUCAUUCUCAACACUUGAAGACCGAAGAAGAAUUUUCCUCCAUAUCUUACUCCAUUUUCUUCAAGAUUCGUGGGUCUAGCUUCAUGCCAUCCUCUCAUAAUUGUUUUCGAUUGUCAGAAUUAUUUUCACCCAUCCGGAGCAAUUCAGGAGUCAUUCAGUUUGUUUCUCCGGAGCCCAUAAUCUCAGAAUUAUUCAUUUCCAGCUUUCAGCUCUCGUUCUCUAAAUCUUACCGGUGCAUCAUUCAAGUAUCCUCUAAUCAGCUCGUGAUCUCUUUGUUCACUUGCAUCUAAAUUCUCUCAAGUAUCUUCGUUCUUUUUAUAAUUCUUUCGGGUGUUUCUUUAUCUUUUCUUCGUUCAUUUGCUAAUUCUUACCGGUGAUUCACCCCUUUACUUCGUUCGUUUUCAAUUCUUACGGUGGUUCGUUCAAGAGUUCUCUUCCUUGGUUAUCAUAUCAAUUUAUUCGUUCUUACAAAUUCUACCGGUGAUUCGUUGAAUACAUUCUCAAGUUUAUAUUAUAUCUCUCUUAAUCUUUUCUACGAGAAUAAGUAAUAUGUCAAAUCCGUUGAUUGUCAUCAAUUUAAUUGGUGAAGGAUAAGCAUAAUGUAAUUCUUCUUCUUGUUUCAUCGAGUGAACUCAAUUCCCUAUUCCGGAGGCUCAUCAAAUUCCUGAUUUCAAUUGUUUCAUCUUCUCUUUUUCCCGGAGUUCCAACCUUUUUUUCAAUUAUUUCACCACAGAGAUUCAUCUAAAUCGGUACAAGGAUUCACCUUGUGUUUUCAACUUCUCUUUCAUUCUGUUUGAUCAUUCUUUAUUACCAGAGUUCUUCAUGGAGGCUCUACAUGAUGGCUCAUCAAGGAUUUAAUUCCUCUCGAAGUGUUCAUUGAGUUUUUUUAGAGGAGCUCAAGUAUUCUUCAUAUUGCAUUCCGAAGUGAAAUUCGUUCUACCUUAUCUUUUGAGGUGGUGUUAAGUCAUUUUUGACAAUUGCUUGGUGUUUCAUGAUUCACAUGUUGUCAAGAAUGAGAUAUCUUAAAUCCAUCAAUCGCGUCAUUGGAGUUAUGUUGGGUUAUUUUCCACCUAAAGCCUUCCCUAAGGAUUGUUGCUAUUUAUGGUGCUAUAAAUGAUCCAAGUUCUUCAUUUAUCCUCCCGGUGAAAUAAGUUUCUCGUCUCCUUGUUGAUAUCAAUCCAAUCUUUUUCCGUGAGUGGCAUAAUUUCACUUCAUAGUUUUGAGAUGUUUUUACAUAAGACCACAACAACCUUAUUCUUUUGUUGUUUAAUUUUCAACAACUCCAUUCAAUCCUUCUUUCUAAGGACGCUUUCAAAUUCAUUCGACGUAGAAAAUGUUGUUUUCUUCUUUGUUACUUUUAGUCUGUUCUAUCUUUUGUUCCGGAGGCAUUGUGAUGUGGCUCUCUUCAACCCAUCAUCUUGUUUGUCAAGAUCUUGUUCAAUUCCUUUCAUUUAUAGUCAAAGUGCUGUCCAAAUUAUAUCAGUCUUAUUCUUUCUCUAUCUUGGUUUAACUGGAGUGUUAUGUCUAUCAUUCCUCUUCUAACCGGAGUCUCAUCCAAGUGCUUUAUUUUGCCAAGUUCAUAUUAUUGCCUUCCAUUUCCAACCGAAGUGUUGUCGUAUUUCAUCUCUGUCGUUCCUUGUACUUCUCGUUUCAAUCGGAGUGCUUGGAUGCACUUCUUGCCCAUUGCAACCCUUUUCUCAUGUCUUUCAACCUACAGGGUUCUCGUGAUGUUCCUUGUUCCUCUUUUCUAACGGAGGUUUUCAACUUUGUUCAUCUUCGUUGUAUUCUGUCUUUCAAUUUUUUCAACCUCUCAAGGUUCGUUGUUUCACUCAAUUGGCAAAGAAGCAACUUAGUUUUUACCGCUUAUCUUCCUUUUCCAUUGUCCCUCCGAUGCCAUUAUAGAUCUCGGGACGAGAUCCUCUCGUAGUGGUGGAGUGUUGUGACGCCCCGAGACAGAUAUGCCAGGUGUCUUCCAGUUAUUCGCUGUUGUUGUCUUGUCAUUCGCUUGCGUGUUGCAUCUUGUCAUGUCAUCAUGUGCAUUGCAUCAUCACAUUUUCAAAACUUGCAUCCGUCCCGGUCUCCUCGUUCUUUCUGUUGUUCGUUCUGAGCCAGACCACACUUGCACGCGCCCGCGGCUUGUCCGAAAUAGUAUUUUAUAAGUGGCCGGAAAAUGUUCUCGGAUUGGGUCGAAAGUUGGCAUGUGGUCUUAUUAUAAUGUAGAUAGACCGCCUGUCAAGUUUCAUCGCAUUCGGAGUUCGUUUGAUAGCCCAACCAUUAAACUAUAGCGGCAUUAUAGCCGUUCUAACAUCGGACGUUUUUGGUCUCCGAAAAUAGUCGCCGGGCCUCUCUCUCUUCUCUUCUCUUCUCUCAGCUCGAGCCCUUCUGCAUAGCCCACAAGUUCCAACCGACCCCUCGCGUGCGUGUCCGAAACUUCCCCGGACCCGACCCGGACAGUUGUCACCGUUGGGUCCAGAUCAUCCCCAAACAUCUACAAAACAUCUCCGUUUCUUAUUUAGAUUUUCCUAGCCUAUCUAUUCUCGACCGUCGGAUUUUGAUCGGAUGAUCCAACUCCUUUCUUUUCCAUAUAUAUAUAGUCUAUCCCUAGUCCAUUUUGGACAACCCUAAUUUCUAGGGUUCCUACCCUAGCGACGCCGCCCACUUUCUCCUCAAUUUCAGCGCCAGGCCAAUCACCUCACUCCGUCCAUCUCCCUCGAUUUGCGUCGCCGCCCAACCACUGCGAAAGCCGAAGCCUCCAUCUUCCCCGAUCCAAAAGCCUCCACCUCCUCCCUUCGAUUCGUUGUCGUACAGAUCGAGCAGGAGGCUCGAUCCCCAGCCACCUCUCUGCCCGAACCCCUCCUAUGCUCCCAGAUGCCUGCACCCCGCUAAUCCCCGCGCCGCCCCGUCGCUCGCUGGAGACUAGGGUCGCCGGAGGCCGCGACCACCUCUCUGUCUAGCAGGUUCAUCACGUCGGACUCCGCCGACUCGCCAGACUCCACGUGCAGGCCUGGCUCGAUGCCCCUCUCCUUCCCUUUCGUCUCGCUCUCGCCCGUUCACCAUCUCCCUCUCUCCUGCAGGAACCCGGGAGCUCGAAGCCAUGACCACCGUCGCCUCGGAUCCUUCUCAUCUGUCGCCGGAGCUCCGUCCACUGCUGCAUCGCCCGGAUUCGGUCGUGCGGGACCGGAUCCAUGUAUUCCCGCUUCGUCUCUGGCCCUAGUUGCCUCCCAGCGCCCUCCCUCAUCGCCGGAGUUUGCCGGCGUCGUUAGCUUCAGUUCCCUGCUCCAGAUCGAGCGAACGAGAAGACCGCGCGCGUUGACCCUGCGCUCAAGGCCCGCCUCCAGUGUCAUCGUGGGCCGCGUGAGCAAGGCCUAGCCCAGCCGCUGAUAGAUCCUAACCGCACCACCGAACGGGCCAAGCCCGUGGGUGAGCAGGCCCUCCCUCCAGCCUCCUGUGCAUCUGGACCAGCAGUUUUGGCCCAUGUCAUGUUUUUUUCCUCUAGACGAUUUUGUCUAUUAUCCAGAGUUUUGCCAGUUUUACAGUAUAGCCCCUAAACAUCAUGCAUUUUAUAACUCUCCAACCGUGCAUCGGAUUAAAACAAACUUAAUAUGAAACUUGCUUAGAAUUUCAUCUACUUUAAUAAUAUGCAAAUUUCAUCUAUGUUUAAAAUGUUUAAAAAUACUUUUUGAUUAAAUUUGCUCCUAUGCCAUGUUAAAAAUGAUUUAAUUCAUAACUAAAUAACCGUAGCUCCGAUUUUAAUAAACUUUAUAUGUAAAUGGGGUGGAAAAAUGUCUAGUUUAUCAUGGUGAAAUCACUUUGCAUGUUUAGCAACUCUAAAAUAUGGUUUAGGGGAGAGCAGUACCAAAUCUAUAAUAUGCUCAUGAGGAGUUUCCGGCCUCAUUUAAACUUGCCUAAAUAAGUAGUUUUGUUGUGUUUCACCCCCUGCCAUGUUAAGAACAUUUAAUAUUGUUGGGUACAUAACGAGAUCGAACUAAAUAAUGGAACGUGGUGUUUCGUCAAUAUGCAAUGGAGUUGCAUAUUGAGCUCCACUUAAUUUGUAGGGUUGUUUGUGCACUUUGCCAUGCCAUGCCUCAUUAAACCGGACAUGCAUCAUACUUGAUUGUGCAUCAUGCCAUGUUCAUGUGUUGGUCGUUUACUAUGUUGUGUGCUUCUUUCCGGUGUUGCUUCUUCAGGUUGGUUCCGAUAACGUCGCGUUUGUGAGGACCCGUUCGACUACGUCCGUUUGUCUUCUUCAUGGACUCGUUCUUCUUCCUUGCGGGAUUUCAGGCAAGAUGACCAUAUCCUCGAAAUCACUUCUAUCUUUGCUUGCUAGAUGCUCGCUCUUUUUCUAUGUCUAUGCUGCGAUACCUACCACUUGCUUAUCAUGCCUCUCAUAUUGUUAAGCCAAGCCUCUAACCACCUUGUCCUAGCAAACCAUUGUUUGGCUAUGUUACCGCUUUGCUCAGCCCCUCUUAUAGCGUUGUUAGUUGCAGGUGAAGAUUGGAGUUUGUUCCUUGUUGGAACAUGGAUAUUUUUGUUGGGAUAUCACAAUAUCUCUUAUUUAAUUAAUGCAUCUAUAUACUUGGUAAAUGGUGGAAGGCUCGGCCUUUUGCCUGGUGUUUUGUUCCACUCUUGCCGCCCUAGUUUCCGUCAUAUCGGUGUUAUGUUCCUGGAUUUUGCGUUCCUUACACGGUUGAGUUAUAAUGGGAACCCCUUGACAGUUCGUCUUGAAUAAAACUCCUCCAACAAGGUCCAACAUUGGUUUUACCAUUUGCCACCUAGCCUUUUCUUUCCCUUGGGUAGGCCUGCCCAAGGAUCAUCUUUAUUUAAACCCCCGGGCCAGUGCUCCUCUGAGUGUUGGUCCAACCUGUCAGCUGCCGGUGGCCACCAGGGGCAACUCUGGGCUGGCCUACCGGAACCUUGGACAAUCCGGUGCGCCCUGAGAACGAGAUAUGUGCAGCUCCUAUCGGGAUUUGUCGGCACAUUCGGGUGGCUUUGCUGGUCUUGUUUUACCAUUGUCGAGGAUGUCUUGUAACCGGGUUGUCGAGUCUGAUCGAAUUGUCUUGGGAGAAGGAAUAUCCUUCGUUGACCGUGAGAGCUUGUGAUGGGCUAAGUUGGGACACCCCUGCAGGGUUUUGAACUUUCGAAAGCCCUGCCCGCGGUUAUGGGCAGAUGAGAAUUUGUUAAUGUCCGGUUGUAGAAAACCUAAAGUUUAGCUUAAUUAAAAUACAUCAACCGCGUGUGUAGCCGUGAUGGUCUCUUCUCGGCGGAGUCUGGGAAGUGAACACGAUGUUGGAGUUAUGUUUGAAUGUAAGUAGACUUGGAUCACUUCUUGAUCAUAGUUUCUCGACCGCGCUUUGCCUUCUCUUCUCGCUCUCAUUUGCGUAAGUUUAACCACCAUAUAUGCUAGUCGCUUGCUGCAGCUCCACCUCAGACCUUUACCUUACCCAUAAGCUUAAAUAGUCUUAAUCGCGAGGGUGUGAGAUUGCUGAGUCCCCGUGACUCACAGAUACUUCCAAAACCAGAUUGCAGGUGCCGAGGAUACCGUGCAGAUGACGCAACCAAGCUUAAGGAGGAGCUCGAUGAAGAUCUUGUCCUUUGUGUUGUUUCGUUCUACUUGAUCAGUAGUGGAGCCCAGUUGGAGUCGAUCAGGGAUCUGUGUAGCUUUUGGGGUAGUCUUCUUUUAUUUUGGUUCCGAGUCAGACCUUGAGGGUGUGUUUGCUUGUUCUCACGAAGUGGAAUGGCAUGGGUCGGUUCCAUCCCCGGGGCCCGUUCCCGUGUUUAGAUUGCCGAAGGAAUCACAACCCACCGAUUCCAGGGAAGGACAUAUUCCCUGUUUAUGCCGAACCUGGACGUUCCUGCAAAUCGGCCGGACCACGCGGAAUGCCUCACUCGCGUCUCCCUCCCCUUCUCCCCGACUCACCAACCCGGCGCCCCAACCACCCCGACCUGUGCCCUCCUCUCUCCCUCGAUGGCCAUGGCGGCGGCCGGAAGUGCAGCCUCGUCGGCAUCUCCCGCCCGUCGCACCCCCCACCCACCACCUCGACCUAGGAUCUAGCGAAAGAGGGAGGCGAGCACUCUGCUCCAUGGCGCAAUCCUCGAGAUCCAUCGGCGGAAGGAGGCCGGGAGGCCACGCUGCCGCCGCGCUCGCGGGGCACACUGGGAAAUGUCGCGCUGCCGCUCUUGACGGACCAGAGGCUCCAAGCGCUGGCCUUGAUGGAGUAGGCGAUCCAAGCUGCGUGCGCCGUGGUGAUAGGAAGGGCGCCGCUGUUGAUCUUGUGGAUUGGAGGAGCAAGGCUGCGGUCAAGACCGGACUAGCAGGCUGCAUUUUUUGCUUGUAGCAAUCAGACAGAUGCAGACUUUGGUAUUUGGGUAGUUACUGUCUUGUGUUUAACUCUGAUUCUUUUCUUCUCUGUUUCUCUGCGAUUUGUUUUUGACAGAGCAUGUUCAAGCCUACGGUAUAUGAAUCGUUGAUGCUCGCACCGCUGUUCUGAAAUACUAGUAGUAUAGUUCAAUUUUUAUCUGCCUUUGACUGAAACCAAUUCGAUUCAUAGUGCGAUGAAUAAACCCAUCUCAUUCCAUCUCACAAACCAAACGCCAAAACGUAACCAUUCCAUUCCUCCGAAUUGCCACUACCGAACACAAGAAUGGAACCGACCCAUUCUAGUGGAAUGGAACUAUGACAUUCCAUUCCACUUCAUUCUCGAACCAAACACACCCUGAGUGUAUCUGGAUGUAUGUAAUGCUUUAUUCAUGUAAUUGUGUGAAGUGAUGAUUGUAAGCCAAUAUGUAUCUCUUUUCCCUUAUGUAUUACAUGGGUUGUGUGAAGAUUACCUCACUUGCGACAUUGCUUUCAAUGCGGUUAUGCCUCUAAGUCGUGCUUCGACACGUGGGGGAUAUAGCCGCAUCGAUGGCGUUAUAGCGUGGGACUCCGUCGCUCGCGCCUUGAGCAUCCUUGUGUGAUGGCCGCCGCCCUCGCAUCAGACGAAAAUCCUCUUUGAGCCGGCAUCGAGUGCAGCACACGACCACCGCCGCUAUGCCUGCAAAUAUGCCGACACACUUGAAUAUCCACUCUUGUGCCACCCUGAUCUCCUUAUUGCGGUUAUCGAGGGCCGCCAUCCCCACCACAAUGACCAACGGAGGCCACCGCCCCCGCCGCCAUGGCUACCCAUCAAGGUUGUCAGAAAUCGUGAUUCUGUUAUACGAUUCUAUGACUUUACGAUCCAAACUAACCCCUAUGAUUCUACAAUUUUAGGUCUUAGAAUCUACGUUUCUACGAUCCUGAUAGUGAAGAUUCUACGAUUUGCAAUCCUACCAUCGAAGCUCCGAUCGAUUCAAAAUCGCGAUUCUGACAACCUUGCUAGCCAUGCAUCCGUUGCCGACGAUGUUGUGCGUGUCGUCGUCUCUGCGAACGCUGGCAACACCAUCUUCACCUCUCUCGCUCAUCGAUCCUCAUGUACAAAAUGCAACCGUCAUCAUGUACAUCCGUGUAUGUACGUAUAGUAAUCUUCUGUUAGAGAUAUGACAAACAAUAGAAACGAAGAAGAUCAAAUAAACACAGAGAACACAUGAUUUUAACGUGGGAAAACCCCUCCAAUGAGAAGGGUAAAAAACCACGGGCACCAAUCAGUGAAACUUAGGGAGAUGUUACAAACGCCGGGGAUUUUCAACAAUGAUUAUUUCGUGCGACGGCUUACAAGAGGUACGUAAUGUGAUGACCUAGGUCGNNNNNNNNNNNNNNNNNNNNNNNNNNNNNNNNNNNNNNNNNNNNNNNNNNNNNNNNNNNNNNNNNNNNNNNNNNNNNNNNNNNNNNNNNNNNNNNNNNNNNNNNNNNNNNNNNNNNNNNNNNNNNNNNNNNNNNNNNNNNNNNNNNNNNNNNNNNNNNNNNNNNNNNNNNNNNNNNNNNNNNNNNNNNNNNNNNNNNNNNNNNNNNNNNNNNNNNNNNNNNNNNNNNNNNNNNNNNNNNNNNNNNNNNNNNNNNNNNNNNNNNNNNNNNNNNNNNNNNNNNNNNNNNNNNNNNNNNNNNNNNNNNNNNNNNNNNNNNNNNNNNNNNNNNNNNNNNNNNNNNACGUCCCCCACCCCAAGCGUCCCUGGUAGGUGAUCAGACUCCGCUUUGUUACCGUCCAAGCCUUCUGGUGACAGGGCCCGCACUGCUCUGUUAGAAUUAGCCUUUAUAUGAAUUUGGAUCACAACUCAACAGCCUCAACAGCCGUGAUUGGGAUCCAGACGAGAAGGACUCUGGCCGCCACGCCAUCCAACCUUAAUGGCAAUGAACGGGAGCAUCUUCACGACGGGCCUCCGCUCUGCUCCGUGAGAAUUUAGCCUUCAUAUGAAUUCUGAUUAUAACUCAACAUCUUCAACGAGAGACAGACGUAACAGAUUAACGGACGCAGAAGCACGUUUAGCGACGGUGAUCUCUGAACCAGGAUGUCUGGCAUGGCGACGAAAGUUGCGAAGAGAGAGCCCACCGGACACUUUUGCGCACGACAACGCACACUGACAGCGACCAAGAAAAUCGUCGGAAUAUCCCCCUCCCCUAAACAAAUAUCGACAGGGGUACUGUACUGGGGUUUUGUCGCGUCGAUCUUACGGGCCCACCUGUCCAGGCCAGAUUUUGGCGACCGACCAGGGAGAAAACCCAGCCGCUCCGAGUCGGAGGGAGUGGCCUUCACGGUAGGUGAGACGUUACCGUGGCCUUCGCUGGUUCAAUUACUCAGCCGCGCGGGCGUGUCAAGCUGCAGCUAUCAAAUUAUUGACUAACUUGCGCCAUAUGGACCAUCUGAGCUCCAAUUCUCCAGUGCAUGCGUGAACUACCACCACCCUAGCAGGAAGGAGUAGCUUGCAGUUGCAGCCCGGCUCUGGCUCUGGCUCUGGCUCUACCGAGGAAUGUCUGAUCUGAGCUACAUGUACAUAAUUAACAAUCAAUUUCAUGCGGAGGAUUUUUACGUUAAUUAAGACGGCACGCUGGCCCCAUGAGACAUGUCGACGUCGAAUUGUCGACCCUCUUUAGUUGGCUUUUACGCCUCGAGGCCAUAUGUAUGCAUGUAACGUAAUUAAAAACAAACCACGAGCCACACAGGAUGUAAAGCGUGGCCAUCCAUUUAAUUAAGAAGGCGCUGCCGGCCUGCCACGUAACCGGCCACGUCGCUGUUGUGUGCAGGACCUCCACAACUACAUGCCCGCUGGGCCAGCUGAACAAAAGGAUCGACGAUACUGCAACUGUACGCGCAACUACCGGACGCAACGCAAUGCAAUGCAACACCGUACGUACUACGUAGACGGCGACCCAAUGGACUGGAUCCUAGCUACCGGCGCUGAUCCAUCUAGCUAAGGUAGUACACGCAACUACUGUACUACUCCCUCCGUCCGGAAAUACUUGUCAUCAAAAUGAAUAAAAGAGGAUGUAUCUAGAUGUAUUUUAGUUCCAGAUACACCCCUUUUUGUUCAUUUUGAUGACAAGUUUUUUCGGACGGAGGGUACAUGAUGCAUGUAGUACUGUGCAUGCAUGUAGACAUCGAUCAAGGAGCUUUCGGGCUCUUCGGUUCCACUAAAGGCCCUUCACGUUGGCAUCACUAGGCAUGCAUUGCCGUUGCUCCGUUCGUUCGUUCGUUGAUCAAGAAACGUACUUCUCCGUAGUAGCGGCGUAGCUUUCCACGCUUGAUUGAAACGGACUGGCACUGGCAGCAUGGCUCGGCCAUGGACGCGCCACCCACCGCGCUAUACCUGGCAGCAGGAGCUCGUUUGUCGCUGGCCAUGGCUGUCGAACUGUAACCGCACAUGUUAAGCUAGCUAUAGCUACUGGUACUGGCACGCGAAUAUUCCGAUCGAAGCGCUUUCCGCUCCUUCCGAUCUGCCAGUAUCCAUUACUCUACUCGCGGCGGUCUUAGUUUACUCGCGCGGAUCACAUGAGGAGGUAUCUUCUUCAGUGCAGAUGCUGAUCAGGGCUCGAUCGGCGUGCAUGUGGCCACCGCGCCAGCUCGCAUGCAUCAGCGGAAGCUUUUGCGCUUGCUUAUGCCCUAAUGAUGCCGUCUUUUGCUUUUGUCUGGUGGGGCUAAACAACGCCGAGAUGAGACGAUGGGGGGCGAUAUUUUAUGGGCGCGCGCCCCACGCAGUCCCUAGUAUUUUUUCUCCCGGUCUUCUGUACUGUAGCUCGCCGAUCGAGCCGUGACCUACAUACAUGUAGGUCUACGCGACGAGCAUUCGAGAAGCGCUUAAUCAAUUGACAGGUACGGCACACGUACGCUCGCAUGAUCGUAUCUGGAAAUACUGCGCCGAUCUGGUCAGCGCGCGGAUCCUCCUGCACUGUUUUCUGUUGAUGCAUCUCGUCACCUUCCUUUGGUUGCAUCGUUUAUUUUAGGGUUUUAGUCUUCCCAUGCAUGCUAUUCUCACUGGACUAAACCAAUUCUUUUCCAUCAUUUCUAGAGACUACUACUUCUGAAUUGUUUUUCACAGCCAUAUUGAAUGGAGCCACUGCAGAGUGAUAGAUAUAUUUAACGGAACUCCUUGCUUCCAUCGCAUUAUUGCAACCCCACCUGUCUGUUGCAAGCAAGAUCCAAAUCUUCGGGAUCUCGGAUGGAAGAUCCGAGUGCAAUUUUAAUCCGGCAACGAACCCAAUUUAGCAGGCCGUAGUUGAACAGAGAGGUUUUUGUUACUUCAUUACUUGCAAGUUGCAACCCAUCUGCUUGCACAAGGAGUACUUUUUAGAGGAAAAGACAUAGCGUCCGACUUUACAAAAUAAGCCAUGAACUGGCAGAGGCAGCCAUACAAACUAUGAAUUAUGGAACCUAAACUCCAUGUCAGUUACACACAUAGCUCUGUACAGGAAAAUGAAGAGUGGAUUUUUUCCACAAGGUAUCUGCUUUAGAUACUGCUCCUUCUAUUCAAUAUUAUAGGACAUUUUGAAUAUUUCAAUAUUGCUUAGAUACAGACUGAAAUGAGUGAACAAACACACUAAAACACGUCUAUAUACAUCCGAUUCAGAAAAAAAAUUAAGACAUCAGUAGACUAGAUGAGUAUCAGAGGGAGUGAAGAAAAUCUUGCAGCGAAAUUAAUAAUGCUGGUAAAGCACGAAGAGCUAAACUGGCAGCAAACAACUACGGAAUAAAAUUUGUUGGAGUAGGACGUAGUAACACUAAGAACAACUCUAAUAGAGUCGCCAUAAUGUAUAUGGAGCGUGCUCCAUAUGCAUUUGGAGGUUGGCCGGCCUGGCGACGCGUAAACUUAGUGUUGACAUAUCCGAGCCUCUAUGUAUUUUGGACUUUUACUAGCAAAAGGCCCGUGCGUUGCAACGGAAGAAAAAAAAUACCACACACUCUUAAUUUACAAAAAAGGGUCUAUAAUCUGAGAAUUUGUAGCUAUGGCCCAAACAAAGAUGGUCUUAACCUAUAAAAGCAUAGUUUAAGAUUCUACAUGUGUUCUAUUUAAUCCGUACAAAGAAACGGGCAAGUGAUCAUGCAUUUAUUCAUGACAUGUUGGAAUGGGGUGUUGUUACGGGUGAGUAAAGAAAGACGACAAAAACAAACGAUCUUGUGGUACGCAUCGUCCAACAGGCCGACAUCAGUUCAAGCAGCGGGGGACGAUGCGGCACUGCGGCUCGUCUCGAUCUUGCCAGAACUCGCCGCCUACGGGGAGGAGCUGCUCAACAAAGGUUGUGGUGCGUGUCGUCCAACAGGUCGAUGGUGUCGCCCCAAUAGGCUACUAGGUCGUAUGCUGAUGUUGGCAUUGCACUACCGAGAAAAGGUAGGGGGAAGGAAAGAGGAUCGUACCGCCGCCGGGGAUGGUAAACGACGUGACAGGAUGAUGGCCAGAGGCGAGGAAGCGUUGGUGUGGCGAUUAACAUUCCAGCCUAGGUAGUAUAUUUUAAAUUGUUAAUAGGUAAAAUAACAUCAUAUUCAGAUUCUACAUAUUUUCCUAAUCAAAUUUCAUAUAUAAAAUGUUAAAUUUAGAGUUACGGUUUAGAAGAUAUGAGUAUCUUAAAAACAUUUGAUAUGUACUGCGGGUUUAAUGUCAGAAACUUUAGGGAGUUUUCUAUAAAUAGCAAAACGGACUAAGAAUACCCAUUUAUUUUAUUAGUAGGUAUAGAUCAUUUAUGUCACUACUUGUGUCCUGUACUCAAUUUUGCCACUAGGAAUAUCAAGUGCUCAAAAAUGCCAUUGCUUCGUUAGACGCUUGCCCAAAAAUGCCACUGGACACCAUUACUGCCAGCUCAAAACCCAUUUACUAUGUUAUAAUGACCAAAAUAUUCUAGACCAACAUGUCAGCUCUUUUUUUUUGCGGGGGGAGCUCUCUUUCUAUCUCACUACGAUAAAGUGUCGGUCCCAGUCGAUCCCCAACAACGUUCUUAUUUUUCUCUAAAAUUAUUCGUUUGCUUACUCCUGAUAAGUGUGCCCCACACUUGUCAUUAUGAGAUAGAGAGAGCUGACAUGUGAGUCAAGGGGUAAUUUGGUCAUAUAAUCCGGUGAACGUGAUUGUCUUGACAAUAACGAUGUCUAAUGCCAUUUUUGAGUAAACAUCUAAUGGAACGAUGGCAUUUUUAAGGUAUCCGAUGGCAUUUUUGAGCAAGCAUCUCAUGGAAUGAUGGCAUUUUUUGUGUAUUUAUAACUCCUAAUGGCAAAACCGAGUAGUGGGACACAACUAGUGGCAUAAAUGAUAAAAAUCCAUUUUUUCGUUUUACUCGUUCAAACACUUUGGUUGCCUCCAAAUUUAAACUUUAGCACAUCAAACAGACAUGAACAUAGUUUUUAACAAGUUGCAUGGACAAAAUCAUUUAAAUCGACGACAUGCACAAAUCACAUGUUGCAGAUGUGUGCAUCCUGCUCUUCUGCUCGGAUGUUUGCACCAAUCCCUCCUCUGCGGUCCCUGAAAUGUACUAUCACCAUUGAUGCCUUGCUCCAAAAUUCUACCGCCAAAGGAUCCAUCAUGUUUAGAUCCAAUACGAUGAACCGACUCUCCUUGUCUAUUCGUUCAGUUGUCGCUCAACGUUCCUGUUUUGAUCUGUCGGGAAACGCAGUAAUUUAAAAAAAAAUUCUACGCACACGCAAGAUCAUGGUGAUGCAUAGCAACAAGAGGGAAGAGUGUUGUCCACGUACCCUCGUAGACCGUAAGUGGAAGCGUUAUGACAACGCGGUUGAUGUAGUCGUACGUCUUCACGAUCGAUCGAUCCUAACACCGAAGGUACGACACCUCCGCGAUCUGCACACGUUCAGCUCAGUGACGUCCCACGACCUCAUGAUCCAGCAGAGUGUCGAGGGAGAGUUUCGUCAGCACGACGGCGUGAUGACGGUGAUGAUGUUGCUACCGGAACAUGACUUUGUCUAAGCACCGCUACGAUAUGACCGAAGUGGAUUAUGGUGGAGGAGGGCACCGCACAUGGCUAAAAGAUCAAUGAUCAACUUGUGUAUCUAUGGGAUGCCCCCUCCCUCAUAUAUAAAGGAGUGGAGGAGGGGGAGGGGGCCGGCCUCCUAGGCGCGCCCCAAGGGGAGUCCUACUCCCACCGGGACUAGGAUUCCCCCCUCCUUCCGUAGUUGGAUUAGGAGAGAAGGAAGGGGGAGGAAGGAAAGGGUAUGUAUGAUUUUCAUUGGACCACAUACAUCAGUAUGUAUGAUUUUCAAUAACUCUGUUGCUCGCUCCAUUGUUCCGGAGAACGGAGUUUUAAUCAUCUUGCCCAUGAGGCAUGGUUCGCAAGUACCAAGUGAUUCAUAAUCAAGUGAUUCCAGAAGUCCAUCAGAAUGGAGUUUCUUCAUGCGCUUUACACCAAUAUGACCUAAACGGCAGUGCCACAAAUAAGUUGCACUAUCAUUAUCAACUCUGCAUCUUUGGCUGUAAUACUAUGAACAUGUGUAUCACUACUAUCAAGAUUUAGUAAAAAUAGACCACUCAUCAAGGGUGCAUGACCAUAAAAGAUAUUACUCAUAUAAAUAGAACAACCAUUAUUCUCUGAUUUAAAUGAAUAACCGUCUCGCAUCAAACAAGAUCCAGAUAUAAUGUUCAUGCUCAACACUGGCACCAAAUAAAAAUUAUUUAGUCUAAAACUAAUCCCGAAGGUAGAUGUAGAGGUACCGUGCCGACGGCGAUCACAUCGACUUUGGAACCAUUUCCCACGCGCAUCAUCACCUCGUCCUUAGCCAAUCUUCGCUUAAUCCGUAGCCCCUGUUUCGAGUUGCAAAUUUUAGCAACAGAACCAGUAUCAAAUACCCAGGCACUACUGCAAGCAUUAGUAAGGUACACAUCAAUAACAUGUAUAUCAAAUAUACCUUUCACUUUGCCAUCCUUCUUCUCCGCCAAAUAUUUGGGGCAGUUCCGCUUCCAGUGACCAGUUCCUUUGCAGUAGAAGCACUCAGUCUCAGGCUUAGGUCCAGACUUGGGUUUCUUCACUUGAGCAGCAACUGGCUUGUUGUUCUUCUUAAAGUUCCCCUUCUUCCCUUUACCCUUUUUCUUGAAACUGGUGGUCUUGUUGACCAUCAACACUUGAUGCUCCUUUUUGUUUUCUACCACCGUAACCUUUAGCAUUGCAAAGAGCUCACGAAUCGUCUUAUCCAUCCCUUGCAUAUUAUAGUUCAUCACGAAGCUCUUGUAGCUUGGUGGCAAUGAUUGAAGAACUCUGUCAAUGACACUAUCAUAAGGAAGAUUAACUCCCAGUUGAGUCAAGUGGUUGUGGUACCCAGACAUUCUGAGUAUAUGUUCACUGACAGAACUAUUCUCCUCCAUCUUGCAGCUAUAGAACUUAUUGGAGACUUCAUAUCUCUCAAUCCGGGCAUUUGCUUGAAGUAUUAACUUCAACUCCUAGAACAUCUCAUAUGCUUCAUGAUAUUCAAAACAUCGUUGAAGUCCCGGUUCUAAGUCGUAAAGCAUGGCACACUGAACUAUCAAGUAGUCACCAGCUUUGCUCUGCCAGGUGUUCACAACAUCUGGCGUUGCUCCUGCAGCGGGUUUGUCACCUAGCUGUGCUUCCAGGACGUAAUUCUUCUGUGCAGCAAUGAGGAUAAUCCUCAAGUUACGGACCCAAUCCGUGUAGUUGCUACCAUCAUCUUUCAACUUAGCUUUCUCUAGGAACGCAUUAAAAUCCAACGGAACAACAGCACGGGCCAUCUAUCUACAACAACAUAGACAUGAAAAAUACUAUCAGGUACUAAGUUCAUGAUAAAUUAAAGUUCAAUUAAUCAAAUUACUUAAGAACUCCCACUUAGAUAGACAUCUCUCUAAUCAUCUAAGUGAUCACGUGAUCCAUAUCAACUAAACCAUGUUCGAUCAUCACGUGAGAUGGAGUAGUUUUCAAUGGUGAACAUCACUAUGUUGAUCAUAUCUACUAUAUCAUUCACGCUCGACCUUUUGGUCUCAGUGUUCCGAGGCCAUAUCUGCAUAUGUUAGGCUCAUCAAGUUUAACCCGAGUAUUCCGUGUGUGCAAAACUGGCUUGCACCCGUUGUAUGUGAACGUAGAGCUUAUCACACCCGAUCAUCACGUGGUGUCUCGGCAUGACGAACUGUAGCAACGGUGCAUACUCAGGGAGAACACUUAUAACUUGAAAUUUAAUGAGAGAUCAUCUUAUAAUGCUACCGCCGAACUAAGAAAAAUAAGAUGCAUAAAGGAUAAACAUCAGAUGCAAUCAAUAUAAGUGAUAUGAUAUGGCCAUCAUCAUCUUGUGCCUUUGAUCUCCAUCUCCAAAGCACCGUCAUGAUCACCGUCGUCACCGGCUUGACAUCUUGAUCUCCAUCAAAGCAUCAUUGUCGUCUCGCCAACUAUUGCUUCUACGACUAUUGCUACCGCUUAGUGAUAAAAGUAAAGCAAUUACAUGGCGAUUGCAUUUCAUACAAUAAAGCGACAACCAUAUGGCUCCUGCCAGUUGCUGAUAACUGUGUUACAAAACAUGAUCAUCUCAUACAAUAAAAUUUAUCAUCAUGUCUUGACCAUAUCACAUCACAACAUGCCCUGCAAAAACAAGUUAGAUGUCCUCUACUUUGUUGUUGCAAGUUUUACGUGACUGCUACAGGCUGAGCAAGAACCGUUCUUACCUAUGCAUCAAAAACCACAACGCGGUAUAGUGGUUGCUUUUUGAUCUUCAGAAAGAACCAUGUUCAUUGAAUCCGAUUCAACUAAAGUUGGAGAAACUGACACCCACCAGCCACAUGUGUGCGAAGCAAGUCGGUAGAACCAGUCUCGUGUAAGUGUACGCGUAAUGUCGGUCUGGGUCACUUCAUCCAACAAUACUGCCGAAUCAAGAAUCAAAUAGUGAUGGCAAACAAUAUGUAUAUACCCACGCCCACAACUCCUUUGUGUUCUACUCGUGCAUAUAACAUCUACGCAUAAACCUGGCUCGGAUGCCACUAUUGGGGAACACAGUAAUUUCAAAAAAAUUCCUACGCACACGCAAGAUCAUGGUGAUGCAUAGCAACGAGAGGGAAGAGUGUUGUCCACGUACCCUCGUAGACCAUAAGCGGAAGCGUUAUGACAAUGUGGUUGAUGUAGUUGUACGUCUUCAUGAUCGACCGAUCCUAGCACCGAAGGUACGACACCUCCGCGAUCUGCACACGUUCAGCUCGGUGACGUCCCACGAACUCACGAUCCAGCAGAGUGUCGAGGGAGAGUUUCGUCAGCACGACGGCGUGACGACGGUGAUGAUGUUCCUACCGGAAUAGGGCUUCGCCUAAGUACCGCUACGAUAUGACCGAGGUGGAUUAUGGUGGAGGGGGGCACCGCACACGGCUAAAAGAUCAAUGAUCAACUUGUGUGUCUAUGGGUUGCCCCCUCCCCCGUAUAUAAAGGAGUGGAGGAGGGGGAGGGGGCCGGCCUCCUAUGCGCGCCCAAGGGGAGUCCUACUCCCACCGGGAGUAGGAUUCCCCCCUUCCCUAGUUGGAUUAGGAGAGAAGGAAGUGGGAGGAAGGAAAGGGGGAGGGGCACCCCCCCUCCCAAUUCGGAUUGGGCUUGGGGGUGUGCCCCUCCUUUGCUCCCUUCUCAUCUCUCCCACUAUGGCCCAAUAAGGCCCAUAUACCUCCCGGGGGGUUCCGGUAACCUCCCGGUACAUCAGUAAAUGUCCGAUCUCAUCCAGAACCAUUCCGAUAUCCAAAUAUAGUCGUCCAAUAUAUCGAUCUUUAUGUCUCGACCAUUUCGAGACUCCUCACCAUGUCUGUGAUCAUAUCCGGGACUCCGAACUACCUUCGAUACAUCAAAACACAUAAACCGAACGUUAAGCGUGCGGACCCUACGAGUUCGAGAACUAUGUAGACAUGACCGAGACACGUCUCCGAUCAAUAACCAAUAGCGGAACCUGGAUGCUCAUAUUGGUUCCUACAUAUUCUACGAAGAUCUUUAUCGGUCAAACCGCAUAACGAUAUACGUUGUUCCCUUUGUCAUCGGUAUGUUACUUGCCAGAGAUUCGAUCGUCGGUAUCUCAAUACCUAGUUCAAUCUCGUUACCGGCAAGUCUCUUUACUCGUUCCGAAAUGCUACAUCCCAUAACUAACUCAUUAGCUACAUUGCUUGCAAGGCUUAUAGUGAUGUACAUUACCGAGAGGGCCCAGAGAUACCUCUCCGACAAUCGGAGUGACAAAUCCUAAUCUUGAUCUAUGCCAACUCAACAAACACCAUCGGAGACACCUGUAGAGCACCUUUAUAAUCACCCAGUUACGUUGUGACAUUUGGUAGCACACAAAGUGUUCAUCCGGUAUUCGUGAGUUGCAUGAUCUCAUAGUCAUAGGAACAUGUAUAAGUUAUGGAGAAAGCAAUAGCAACAAACUAAACGAUCAUCAUGCUAAGCUAACGGAUGGGUCAAGUCAAUCACAUCAUUCUCUAAUGAUGUGAUCCUGUUAAUCAAAUGACAACUCAUGUCUAUGGUUAGGAAACAUAACCAUCAUUGAUUCAGCGAGCUAGUCAAGUAGAGGUAAACUAGUGACACUCUGUUUGUCUAUGUAUCCAGACAUGUACUAAGUUUCCGGUUAAUACAAUUUAGCAUGAAUAAUAAACAUUUAUCAUGAUAUAAGGAAAUAUAAAUAACAACUUUAUUAUUGCCUCUAGGGCAUAUUUCCUUCACGAGCCUAUGCACCUCCAUCACUUUUUGACGCGGUAUGCUCUCUUGCAUAGUAUCCCAACUCGCCCUCUUGUCUUGGAUCUUCUCCUCCUCCUCCAUCUUUAGCUUUUCUUGCCCCCAUUUCUCGGCGCACUCGUUUCUAUCCUCAUCAAUCCAUCGAUCUUUUUUUCAUGGCCUCCACCUAUCCUUCCCUCUUGAGCUUCUAUUUCCUCUCUUACUCCUUUUGGCCAAGCUAUGAUAGAUGCUGGAGUGGGACUUCUAGGCAUGCUUUCCCUUUCCUCUCCAUCACCAUCAUCACCUUCACCGUCCUCCAUAUCCAGCGAGGAAUUGUCGCACUUCUCAGUUUUUGGACUGUCAUCAUCGUUCGUCGGUUUCCUCUUCUUGUGGCCUUCGAGCAAUGUGGAGGCCAAAAAGAUCUUCCCUUCGACUUGACCAUUUUUUGGUACCUCUCUUGGGCUAUGUUAUUGUUGGGGAACGUAGUAAUUUCAAAAAAAUUCCUACGCACACGAAAGAUCAUGGUGAUGCAUAGCAACGAGAGGGGAGAGUAUGUCCACGUACCUUCGUAGACCGAAAGUGGAAGCGUUAGUACAACGCGGUUGAUGUAGUCAUACGUCUUCACGAUCCGACCAAUCAAGUACCGAAUGCACAACACCUCCGAGUUCUGCACACGUUCAACUCGAUAACGUCCCUCGAACUCCAAUCCAGCCGAGCUUUGAGGGAGAGUUCCGUUAGCACGACGGCGUAGUGACGAUGUUGAUGUUCUACCGUCGCAGGGCUUCGCCUAAGCACCGCUACGAUAUUAUCGAGGUGGACAAUGGUGGAGAGGGGCACCGCACAUGGCUAAAAGAUCCAAGAGAUCAAUUGUUGUGUCUAUGGGGUGCCCCUCUCCUCCGUAUAUAAAGGCGGGAGGAGAGGGCUGGCCAAGGGGAGGAGGCGCGCCCAAGGGGGGAGUCCUACUCCCACCGGGAGUAGGACUCCUCCUUUUCCUAUUUGGAGAGGGAGAGGGAAGGAAGAGGAAGGAGGGAGGAAGGAUAGGGGGGCCGGCCCCCCUCCCAAUUUGGAUUGGGCUUGGGGGGCGCCCCUCCCUUUCUCCUUUCCUCUCCUUUCCACUAAAGCCCAUUAAGGCCCAUAUACCUCUCGGGGGGUUCCGAUAACCUCCCGGUGCUCCGGUAUUAUCCCGAUCUCACCCGGAACCAUUCCGGUAUCCUAAUAUAGUCGUCCAAUAUAUCGAUCUUUACGUCUCGACCAUUUCGAGACUCCUCAUCAUGUUCGUGAUCACAUCCGGGACUCCGAACUACCUUCGGUACAUCAAAACACAUAAACUCAUAAUAAAACCGUCAUCAAACUUUAAGCGUGUGGACCCUACGGGUUCGAGGACUAUGUAGACAUGACCGAGACACGUCUCCAGUCAAUAACCAAUAGCGGAACCUGGAUGCUCAUAUUGGCUCCUACAUAUUCUAUGAAGAUCUUUAUCGGUCAAACCGCAUAACAUCAUACGUAGUUCCCUUUGUCAUCGGUAUGUUACUUGCCCGAGAUUCGAUCGUCGGUAUCUCAAUACCUAGUUCAAUCUCGUUACCGGCAAGUCCCUUUACUCGUUCCAUAACACAUCAUGCCGCAACUAACUCAUUAGUUGCUAUGCUUGCAAGGCUUAAGUGAUGUGUAUUAUCGAGUGGGCCUAGAGAUACCUCUCCGACAAUCGGAGUGACAAAUCCUAAUCUUGAAAUAUGCCAACCCAACAAGUACCUUUGGAGACACCUGUAGAGCACCUUUAUAAUCACCCAGUUACGUUGUGAUGUUUGGAAGCACACAAAGUGUUCCUCCGGUAAACGGGAGUUGCAUAAUCUCAUAGUCAUAGGAACAUGUAUAAGUCAUGAAGAAAGCAAUAGCAACAUACUACACGAUCAAGUGCUAAGCUAACGGAAUGGGUCAAGUCAAUCACAUCAUUCUCCUAAUUAUGUGAUCCCGUUAAUCAAAUGACAACUCUUUGUCUAUGGCUAGGAAACAUAACCAUCUUUGAUCAACGAGCUAGUCAAGUAGAGGCAUACUAGUGACACUCUGUUUGUCUAUGUAUUCACACAUGUAUCAUGUUUCCGGUUAAUACAAUUCUGGCAUGAAUAAUAAACAUUUAGCAUGAUAAAAGGAAAUAAAUAAUAACUUUAUUAUUGCCUCUAGGGCAUAUUUCCUUCAGUCUCCCACUUGCACUAGAGUCAAUAAUCUAGAUUACACAAUAAUGAUUCUAACACCCAUGGAGCCUUGGUGCUGGUCAUGUUUUGCUCAUGGAAGAGGCUUAGUCAACGGGUCUGCAACAUUCAGAUCCUUAUGUAUCUUGAAAAUCUCUAUGUCUCCCACCUGGACUUGAUCCCAGAUGGAGUUGAAGCAUCUUUUAAUGUGCUUGGUUCUCUUGUGAAAUCUGGAUUCCUUUGCCAAAGCAAUUGGACCAGUAUUGUCAUAAAAGAUUUUCAUUGGACCCGAUGCACUAGGUAUGACACCUAGAUCGGAUAUGAACUCCUUCAUCCAGACUCCUUCAUUUGUUGCUUACGAAGCAGCUAUGUACUCCGCUUCACAUGUAGAUCCUACUAUGACGCUUUGUUUAGAACUACACCAACUGACAGCUCCUCCGUUCAAUAAAAACACGUAUCCGGUUUGCGAUUUAGAAUCGUCCAGAUCAGUGUCAAAGCUUGCAUCGACGUAACCAUUUACGACGAGCUCUUUGUCACCUCCAUAAACGAGAAACAUAUCCUUCGUCCUUUUCAGGUAUUUCAGGAUGUUCUUGACCGCUGUCUAGUGAUCCACUCCUGGAUUACUUUGGUACCUCCCAGCUAAACUAAUAGCAAGGCACACAUCAGGUCUGGUACAUAGAAUAGCAUACAUGAUAAAGCCUAUGGCUGAAGCAUAGGGAACAUCUUUCAUUUUCUCUCUAUCCUCUGUAGUGGUCGGGCAUUGCGUCUUACUCAACUUUACACCUUGUAACACAUGCAAUAACCCUUUCUUUGCUUGAUCCAUUUUGAACUUCUUCAAAACUUUGUCAAGGUAUGUGCUUUGUGAAAGUCCAAUUAAGCGUCUCGAUCUAUCUCUAUAGAUCUUGAUGCCCAAUAUAUAAGCAGCUUCACCGAGGUCUUUCAUUGAAAAACUCUUAUUCAAAUAUCCUUUUAUGCUAUCCAGAAAUUCUAUAUCAUUUCCAAUCAACAAUAUGUCAUCCACAUAUAAUAUCAGAAAUGCUAUAGAGCUCCCACUCACUUUCUUGUAAAUACAGGCUUCUCCAAAAGUCUGUAUAAAACCAUAUGCUUUGAUCACACUAUCAAAACGUUUAUUCCAACUCCGAGAGGCUUGCACCAGUCCAUAAAUGGAUCGCUGGAGCCUGCACACUUUGUUAGCUCCCUUUGGAUUGGCAAAACCUUCCGGUUGCAUCAUAUACAACUCUUCUUCCAAAAAUCCAUUCAAGAAUGCAGUUUUGACAUCCAUUUGCCAAAUUUCGUAAUCAUAAAAUGCGGCAAUUGCUAACAUGAUUCGGACAGACUUAACCAUCGCUACGGGUGAGAAGGUCUCAUCGUAGUCAAUCCCUUGAACUUGUCGAAAACCUUUUGCAACAAGUCGAGCUUUAUAGACAGUAACAUUACCAUCAGCGUCAGUCUUCUUCUUGAAGAUCCAUUUAUUCUUGAUGGCUUGCCGAUCAUCGGGCAAGUCAACCAAAGUCUACACUUUGUUCUCAUACAUGGAUCCCAUCUCAGAUUUCAUGGCCUCAAGCCAUUUUGCGGAAUCUGGGCUCACCAUCGCUUCUUCAUAGUUCGUAGGUUCGUCAUGGUUUAGUAACAUAACCUCCAGAAUAGGAUUACCGUACCACUCUGGUGCUGAUCUUACUCUGAUUGACCUACGAGGUUCAGUAACAACUUGAUCUGAAGUUUCAUGAUCAUCAUCAUUAACUUCCUCACUAAUUGGUGUAGACGUCACAGUAACCGGUUUUUGUGACGAACUACUAUCCAAUAAGGCAGUAGGUACUGUUAACUCAUCAAGUUCUACUUUCCUCCCACUCACUUCUUUCGAGAGAAACUCAUUCUCUAGAAAGGAUCCAUUAUUAGCAACGAAUGUCUUGCCUUCGGAUCUAUGAUAGAGGGUGUAGCCAACAGUUUCCUUUGGGUAUCCUAUGAAGACACAUUUCUCCGAUUUGGGUUCGAGCUUAUUAGGUUGAAGCUUUUUCACAUAAGCAUCGCAGCCCCAAACUUUAAGAAACGACAACUUUGGUUUCUUGCCAAACCAUAGUUCAUAAAGUGUCGUCUCAACGGAUUUUGAUGGUGCCCUAUUUAACGUGAAUGCAGCCGUCUCUAAAGCAUAACCCCGAAAUGAUAGCGGUAAAUCAGUGAGAGACAUCAUAGAUCACCCAUAUCUAGUAAAGUACGAUUACAACGUUCGGACACACCAUUACGCUGUGGUGUUCCGGGUGGCGUGAGUUGCGAAACUAUUCCGCAUUGUUUCAAAUGUAGACCAAACUCGUAACUCAAAUAUUCUCCUCCAUGAUCAGAUCGUAGAAACUUCUUUUCUUGUUACGAUGAUUUUCAACUUCACUCUGAAAUUCUUUGAACUUUUCAAAUGUUUAAUACUUAUGUUUCAUUAAGUAGAUAUACCCAUAUCUGCUUAAAUCAUCUGUGAAGGCGAGAAAAUAACGAUACCCGCCGCGAGCCUCAACAUUCAUUGGACCACAUACAUCGGUAUGUAUGAUCUCCAACAAAUCAGUUGCUCGCUCCACAGUUCCGGAGAACGGCGUUUUAGUCAGCUUGCCCAUGAGGCAUAGUUCGCAAGUACCAAGUGAUUCAUAAUCAAGUGAUUCCAAAAGAUCAUCAGUAUGGAGUUUCUUCAUGCGCUUUACACCAAUAUGACCCAAACGGCAGUGCCACAAAUAAGUUGCACUAUUAUUAUCAACUCUGCAUCUUUUGGCUUCAACAUUAUGAAUAUGUGUAUCACUACUAUCGAGAUUCAUCAAAAAUAGACCACUCUUUAAGGGUGCAUGACCAUAAAAGAUAUUACUCAUAUAAAUAGAUCAACCAUUAUUCUCAGAUUUAAAUGAAUAACCGCCUCGCACUAAACAAGAUCUAGAUAUAAUGUUCAUGCUCAACGCUGGAACAAAAUAACAAUUAUUUAGGUCUAAAAACUAACCCCAAAGGUAGAUGUAGAGGUAGCGUGCUGACGGCGAUCACACCGACUUUGGAACCAUUUCCCACGCGCAUCGUCGCCUGGUCCUUAGCCAGUGUUCGCUUAAUUCGUAGUCCCUGUUUUGAGUUGCAAAUAUUACAAACAGAACCAGUAUCAAAUACCCAGGUGCUACUGCGAGCUCUGGUAAGGUACACAUCAAUAACAUGUAUAUCACAUAUACCUUUGUUAACCUUGCCAUCCUUCUUAUCCGCCAAAUACUUGGGGCAGUUCCGCUUGCAGUGACCAGUCUGCUUGCAGUAGAAGCACUCAGUCUUAGGCUUAGAUCUAGACUUGGGUUUCUUCUCUUGAGCAGCAACUUGUUUGCUGUUCUUUUUGAAGUUCUCAUUCUUCUUCCCUUUGACUUUUUUCUUGAAACUGGUGGUCUUAUUGACCAUCACACUUGAUGCUCCUUGAUUUCUACCUCCGCAACCUUUAGCAUUGCGAGGAGCUCGGGAAUUGUCUUAUCCAUCCCUUGCAUGCUAUAGUUCAUCACAAAACUCUUGUAGCUUGGUGGCAGUGAUUGAAAAAUUCUGUCAAUGACGCUAUCAUCCAGAAGAUUAACUCCUUGUUGAAUCAGGUGAUUGUUAUACCCAGACAUUCUGAGUAUAUGCUCACUGACAGAACUAUUCUCCUCCAUCUUGCAGCUGUAGUACUUAUUGGAGACUUCAUAUCUCUCAAUCCGGGCAUUUGCUUGAAAUAUUAACUUCAACUCCUGGAACAUCUCAUAUGCUCAAUGACGUUUAAAACGUCGUUAAAGUCCCGGUUCUAAGCUGUAAAGCAUGGCACACUGAACUAUCGAGUAGUCAUCAGCUUUGCUUUGCCAGACGUUCAUAACAUCUGGUGUUGCUCCUGCAGCAGGUUUGGCACCUAGCGGUGCUUCCAGGACGUAAUUCUUCUGUGCAGCAAUGAGGAUAACCCUCAAGUUACGGACCCAGUCCGUAUAAUUGCUACCAUCAUCUUUCAACUUUGCUUUCUCAAGGAACGCAUUAAAAUUCAACGGGACAACAGCACGACCCAUCUAUCUACAACAAACAUAGACAUGCAAAAUACUAUCAGGUGCUAAGUUCAUGAUAAAUUUAAGUUCAAUUAAUCAUAUUACUUAAGAACUCCCACUUAGAUAGACAUCCCUCUAAUCAUCUAAGUGAUCACGUGAUCCAAAUCAACUAAACCAUAACCGAUCAUCACGUGAAAUGGACUAGUUUUCAAUGGUGAACAUCAGUAUGUUGAUCAUAUCUACUAUAUGAUUCACGCUCGACCUUUCGGUCUCAGUGUUUCGAGGCCAUAUCUGCAUAUGCUAGGGUCUUUAAGUUUAACCUGAGUAUUCUGCGUGUGCAAAACUUGCUUGCACCCGUUGUAGAUGGACGUAGAGCUUAUCACACCCGAUCAUCAUGUGGUGUCUGGGCACGACGAACUUUGGCAACGGUCCAUACUCAGGGAGAACACUUUUAUCUUGAAAUUUAGCAAGAGAUCAUCUUAUAAUGCAACCGUCAAUCAAAGCAAAAUAAGAUGCAUAAAAUAUAAACAUCACAUGCAACCAAUAUAAGUGAUAUGAUAUGGCCAUCAUCAUCUUGUGCUUGUGAUCUCCAUCUCCAAAGCACCGUCAUGAUCACCAUCGUCACCGGCACGACACCUUGAUCUCCAUCGUAGCGUCAUUAUCGUCUCGCCAACUAUUGCUUCUACGGCUAUCGCUACCGCUUAGUGAUAAAGUAAAGAAAUUACAGGGCGAUUGCAUUGCAUACAAUAAAGCGACAACCAUAUGGCUCCUGCCAGUUGCCGAUAACUCGGUUACAAAACAUGAUCAUCUCAUACAAUAAAAUAUAGCAUCAUGUCUUGACCAUAUUGUUGGGGAACGUAGUAAUUUCAAAAAUUUCCUACGCACACGCAAGAUCAUGGUGAUGCAUAGCAAUGAGAGGGGAGAGUGUUGUCCACUUACCCUCGUACACCGAAAGCGGAAGCGUUAGCACAACGCGGUUGAUGUAGUCGUACGUCUUCACGGCCCGACCGAUCAAGCACCGAAACUACGGCACCUCCGAGUUCUAGCACACAUUCAGCUCGAUGACGAUCCCCGGACUCCGAUCCAGCAGAAUGUCGGGGAAGAGUUCUGCCAGCAUGACGGCGUGGUGAUGAUCUUGAUGUUCUACUGUCGCAGGGCUUCGCCUAAGCACCAUUACAAUAUUAUCAAGGACUAUGGUGGAGGGGGGCACCGCACACGGCUAAGAGAUCAAUGAUCAACUGUUAUGUCUAUGGGGUGCCCCCUGCCCCCUUAUAUAAAGGAGCAAGGGAGGAAGGCGGCCGGCCUAGGAGGAGGGCACGCCAAGGGGGGAGUCCUACUCCCACUGGGAGUAGGACUCCUCCUUCCUUUAUUGGAGUAGGAGAGAAGGAAAGAGGGGGAGAGGAACAAGGAAAAGUGGGCUGCACCCCUUGUCCAAUUCAGACCAGAGGGGGGGUGCGUGCCUCCUUCCUUUUGUCCUCUCUCCUCUAUUCCCGUAUGGCCCAAUAAGGCCCAUAUACUCCCCGGCGAAUUCCCGUAACUCUCCGGUACUCCGGAAAAUACCCGAAUCACUUGGAACCUUUCCGAUGUCCGAAUAUAGUCGUCCAAUAUAUCGAUCUUUACGUCUCGACCAUUUCGAGACUCCUCGUGAUGUCCAUGAUCUCAUCCGGGACUCUGAACUCCUUCGAUACAUCAAAACUCAUAAAAUCAUAAUAUAACUGUCAUCGAAACCUUAAGCGUGCGGACCCUACGGGUUCGAGAACAAUGUAUACAUGACCGAGACACGUCUCCGGUCAAUAACCAAUAGCGGAACCUGGAUGCUCAUAUUGGCUCCCACAUAUUCUACGAAGAUCUUUAUCAGUCAGACCGCAUAACAACAUACGUUGUUCACUUUGUCAUCGGUAUGUUACUUGCCCGAGAUUCGAUCGUCGAUAUCUCAAUACCUAGUUCAAUCUCGUUACCGGCAAGUCUCUUUACUCAUUCCGUAAUACAUCAUCCCGCAACUAACUCAUUAGUUGCAAUGCUUGCAAGGCUUAAGUGAUGUGCAUUACCGAGAGGGCCUAGAGAUACCUCUCCGACAAUCGGAGUGACAAAUCCUAAUCUCGAAAUAUGCCAACCCAACAAGUACCUUCGGAGACACCUGUAGAGCACCUUUAUAAUCACCCAGUUACGUUGUGACAUUUGGUAGCACACAAAGUGUUCCUCCGGUAAACGGGAGUUGCAUAAUCUCAUAGUCAUAGGAACAUGUAUAAGUCAUGAAGAAAGCAAUAGCAACAAACUAAACGAUCAAGUGCUAUGCUAACGGAAUGGGUCAAGUCAAUCACAUCAUUCUCCUAAUGUUGUGAUCCCGUUAAUCAAAUGACAACUCAUGUCUAUGGUUAGGAAACAUAACCAUCUUUGAUUAACGAGCUAGUCAAGUAGAGGCAUACUAGUGACACUCUGUUUGUCUAUGUAUUCACACAUGUAUUAUGUUUCCGGUUAAUACAAUUCUAGCAUGAAUAAUAAACAUUUAUCAUGAUAUAAGGAAAUAAAUAAUAACUUUUUUAUUGCCUCUAGGGCAUAUUUCCUUCAGUCUCCCACUUGCACUAGAUUCAAUAAUCUAGUUCACAUCGCCAUGUGAUUUAAUACCAAUAGUUCACAUCACCAUGUGAUUAACACCCAUAGUUCACAUCGACAUGUGACCAACACCCAAAGGGUUUACUAGAGUUAAUAAUCUAGUUCACAUCGCUAUGUGAUUAACACCCAAAGAGUACUAAGGUGUGAUCAUGUUUUGCUUGUGAGAGAAGUUUAGUUAAAGGGUCUGCCACAUUCAGAUCCGUAAGUAUUUUGCCAAUUUCUAUGUCAACAAUGCUCUGCAUGGAGCUACUCUAGCUAAUUGCUCCCUCUUUCAAUAUGUAUCCAGAUUGAGAUUUAGAGUCAUCUAGAUCAGUGUCAAAAUUUGCAUCGACGUAACCCUUUACGACGAACCUUUUGUCACCUCCAUAAUAGAGAAACUUAUCCUUAUUCCACUAAGGAUAAUUUUGACCGCUGCCUAGUGAUCUACUCCUAGAUCACUAUUGUACUCCCUUGCCAAACUCAGGGCAGGGUAUACAAUAGGUCUGGUACACAGCAUGGCAUACUUUAUAGAACCUAUGGCUGAGGCAUAGGGAAUGACUUUCAUUUUCUCUUUAUCUUUUGCCGUGGUCGGGUUUUGAGUCUUACUCAACUUCACACCUUGUAACGUAGGCAAGAACUCCUUCUUUGACUGUUCCAUUUUGAACUACUUCAAAAUCUUGUCAAGGUAUGUACUCAUUGAAAACUUAUCAAGUGUCUUGAUCUAUCUCUAUAGAUCUUGAUGCUCAAUACGUAAGCAGCUUCACCGAGGUCUUUCUUUGAAAAACUCCUUUCAAACAUUCCUUUAUGCUUUGCAGAAUAAUUCUACAUUAUCUCCGAUCAACAAUAUGUCAUUCACAUAUACUUAUCAGAAAUGUUGUAGUGCUCCCACUCACUUUCUUGUAAAUACAGGCUUCACCGCAAGUCUGUAUAAAACUAUAUGCUUUGAUCAACUUAUCAAAGUGUAUAUUCCAACUCCGAGAUGCUCGCACUAGUCCAUAGAUGGAUCGCUGGAUCUUGCAUAUUUUGUUAGUACCUUUAGGAUUGACAAAAUCUUCUGGUUGCAUCAUAUACAACUCUUCUUUAAUAAAUCCAUUAAGGAAUGUAGUUUUGUUUAUCCAUUUGCCAGAUUUCAUAAAAUGUGGCAAUUGCUAACAUGAUUCGGACAGACUUAAGCAUAGAUACGAGUGAGAAACACUCAUCGUAGUCAACACCUUGAACUUGUCGAAAACCUUUUUGCGACAAUUCUAGCUUUGUAGAUAGUAACACUAAUAUCAGCGUCCAUCUUCCUCUUGAAUAUCCAUUUAAUCUCAAUGGCUCGCCGAUCAUUGGGCAAGUCAAUCAAAGUCCAUACUUUGUUCUCAUACAUGGAUCUCAUCUCAUAUUUCAUGGCCUCAAGCCAUUUCACGGAAUCUGGGCUCAUCAUCGCUUCCUCAUAGUUCGUAGGCUCGUCAUGGUCAAGUAACAUGACCUCUAGAACAGGAUUACCGUACCACUCUGGUGCGGAUCUCACUCUGGUUUACCUACGAGGUUCGGUAGCAACUUGAUCUGAAGUUACAUGAUCAUCAUCAUUAGCUUCCUCACUAAUUGGUGUAGUAGUCACAGGAACAGAUUUCUGUGAUGAACUACUUUCCAAUAAGGGAGCAGGUACAGUUACCUCAUCAAGUUCUACUUUCCUCCCACUCACUUCUUUCGAGAGAAACUCCUUCUCUAGAAAGGAUCCAUUCUCAGCAACGAAUAUCUUGCCUUCGGAUCUGUGAUAGAAGGUGUAACCAACAUUUUCUUUUGGUUAUCCUAUGAAGACGCACUUCUCCGAUUUGGAUUUGAGCUUAUCAGGUUGAAACUUUUUCACAUAAGCAUUGCAACCUCAAACUUUAAGAAACAAUAGCUUAGGUUUCUUGCCAAACCAUAGUUCAUACGGUGUCGUCUCAAGGGAUUUAGAUGGUGCCCUAUUUAACGUAAAUGUAGCUGUCUCUAAUGCAUAACCCCAAAACGAUAGUGGUAAAUCAAUAAGAGACGUCAUAGAUCGCACCAUAUCUAAUAAAGUUCGGUUACGACGUUCACACACACCAUUACACUGUGGUGUUCCAGGUGGCAUGAGUAGUGAAACUAUUUCACAAUGUUUUAACUGAAGGCCAAACUCGUAACUCAAAUAUUUUCCUUCUGCGAUCAUAUCGUAGAAACUUUUAUUUUUGUUACGAUGAUUCUCCACUUCACUCUGAAAUUCUUCGAACUUUUCAAAUGUUUCAGAUUUGUGUUUCAUCAAGUAGAUAUACUCAUAUCUGCUCAAAUCAUCUGUGAAGAUCAGAAAAUAAUGAUACCUGCCGCGAGCCUCAAUAUUCAUCGGACCAGAUACAUCAGUAUGUAUGAUUUCCAACAAAUCUGUUGCUUGCUCCAUUGUUCCGGAGAACAGAGUCUUAGUCAUCUUGCCCAUGAGGCAUGGUUCGCAAGCAUCAAUUGAUUCACAAUCAAUUGAUUCCAAAAGCCCAUCAGCAUGGAUUUUCUUCAUGCGCUUUACACCAAUAUGACCUAAACGGAAGUGCCACAAAUAAGUUGCACUAUCAUUAUUAACGUUGCAUCUUUUGGUUUCAAUAUUAUGAAUAUGUGUAUCACUACGAUCGAGAUCCAACGAACCAUUUUCAUUGGGUGUGUAACCAUAUAAGGUUUUAUUCAUGUAAACAGAACAACAAUUUAUUCUCUUACUUAAAUGAAUAACCGUAUUGCAAUAAACAUGAUCAAAUCAUAUUCAUGCUCAACGCAAACACCAAAUGACACUUAUUUAGGUUCAACACUAAUCCCGAAAGUAUAGGGAGUGUGCGAUGAUGAUCAUAUCAAUCUUGGAACCACUUCCAACACACAUCGUCACUUCACCCUUAACUAGUCUAUGUUCAUUCUGCAACUCCCGUUUCGAGUUACUACUCUUAGCAACUGAACCAGUAUCAAAUACCGAGGGGUUGCUACGAAAACUAGUAAAAUACACAUCAAUAAUAUGUAUAUCAAAUAUAUCUUUGUUCACUUUGCCAUCCUUCUUAUCCGCCAAAUACUUGGGGUAGUUUCGCUUCCAAUGACCAGUCCCUUCGCAGUAGAAGCACUCACUUUCAGGCUUCGGUCCAGACUUGGGUUUUUCACUUGAGCAGCAACUUGCUUGCCGUUCUUCUUGAAGUUCCCCUUUCUUCCCUUUGUCCCUUUACUUGAAACUAGUGGUUUUGUUUACCAUCAACAGUUGAUGCUUUUCUUGAUUUCUACCUUCAUCGAUUUAAGCAUCGCGAAGAGCUUGGGAAUCGUUUCAAUUAUCCCUUGCAUAUUAUAGUUCAUCACGAAGUUCUACUAACUUGGUGAUGGUGACUAGAGAAUUUUGUCAAUCACUAUUUUAUCUGGAAGAUUAACUCCCACUUGAUUCAAGCGAUUGUAGUACCCAGACAAUCUGAGCACAUGCUCACUGCUUGAGCUAUUCUCCUCCAUCUUUUAGCUAUAGAACUUGUUAAAGACUUCAUAUCUCCCAACUCGGGUAUUUGCUUGAAAUAUUAACUUCAACUCCUGAAACAUCUCAUAUGUUCCAUGACGUUGAAAACGUCUUUGAAGUCCCGAUUCUAAGCCGUUAAGCAUGGUGCACUAAACUAUCAAGUAGUCAUCAUAUUGAGCUAGCCAAAUGUUCAGAACAUUUGCAUCUGCUCCUGCAAUAGGUCUAUCACCUAGCGGUGCAUCAAGGACAUAAUUCUUCUGUGCAACAAUGAGGAUAAUCCUCAGAUCACGGAUACAAUCCGCAUCAUUGCUACUAAUAUUUUUCAACUUAGUUUUCUCUAGGAACAUAUAAAAAUUAAAUGGGGAGCAACAUCGCGAGCUAUUGAUCUACAACAUAGAUAUGCUAAUACUACCAGGACUAAGUUCAUGAUAAAUUAAAGUUCAAUUAAUCAUAUUACUUAAGAACUCCCACUUAGAUAGACAUUCCUCUAAUCAUCUAUGUGAUCACGUGAUCCAAAUCAACUAAACCAUAACCGAUCAUCACGUGAAAUGGAAUAGCUUUCAAUGGUGAACAUCAUUAUGUUGAUCAUAUCUACUAUAUGAUUCACGCUCGACCUUUCGGUCUCAGUGUUCCGAGGCCAUAUCUACAUAUGCUAGACUCGUCAAGUUUAACCUGAGUAUUCUGCGUGUGCAAAACUGGCUUGCACCCGUUGUAGAUGGACGUAGAGCUUAUCACACCCGAUCAUCACGUGGUGUCUGGGCACGACAAACUUUGGCAAUGGUGCAUACUCAGGGAGAACACUUUUAUCUUGAAAUUUAGUGAGAGAUCAUCCUAUAAUGCUACCGUCAAACAAAGCAAGAUAAGAUGCAUAAAAGAUAAACAUCAAAUGCAAUCAAUAUAAGUGAUAUGAUAUGGCCAUCAUCAUCUUGUGCUUGUGAUCUCCAUCUCUGAAGCACCGUCAUGAUCACCAUCGUCACCGGCGCGACACCUUAAUCACCAUCGUAGCAUCGUUGUGAUCUCGCCAAUCUUAUGCUUCCACGACUAUCGCUACCGCUUAGUGAUAAAGUAAAGAAUUACAGUGCAAUUGCAUUGCAUACAAUAAAGCAACAACCAUAUGGCUCCUGCCAGUUGCCGAUAACUCGGUUACAAAACAUGAUCAUCUCAUACAAUAAAAUUUAGCAUCAUGUCUUGACCAUAUCACAUCACAACAUGCCAUGCAAAAACAAGUUAGACGUCCUCUACUUUGUUGUUGCAAGUUUUACGUGGCUGCUACGGGCAGAGCAAGAACCAUUCUUACCUACGCAUCAAAACCACAACGAUAGUUUGUCAAGUUGGUGCUGUUUUAACCUUCGCAAGGACCGGGGUAGCCACACUCGGUUCAACUAAAGUUGGAGAAACUGACACCCGCCAGCCACCUGUGUGCAAAGCACAUCGGUAGAACCAGUCUCGCGUAAGCGUACGCGUAAUGUCGGUCCGGGCCGCUUCAUCCAACAAUACCGCCGAACCAAAGUGUGACAUGCUGGUAAGCAGUAUGACUUAUAUCGCCCACAACUCACUUGUGUUCUACUCGUGCACAACAUCAACGCAUAAAACCUAGGCUCGGAUACCACUAUUGGGGAACGUAGUAAUUUAAAAAAUUUCCUACACACACGCAAGAUCAUGGUGAUGCAUAGCAACGAGAGGGGAGAGUGUUGUCCACGUACCCUCGUAGAUCGAAAGCGGAAGCAUUAGCACAACGCGGUUGAUGUAGUCGUACGUCUUCACGGCCCGACCGAUCAAGCAACGAAACUACGGCACCUCCGAGUUCUAGCACACGUUCAGCUCGAUGACGAUCCCCGGACUCCGAUCCAGCAGAAUGUCGGGGAAGAGUUCCGUCAGCACGACGGCGUGGUGACGAUCUUGAUGUUCUACUGUCGCAGGGCUUCGCCUAAGCACCACUACAAUAUUAUCGAGGACUAUGGUGGAGGGGGGCACCGCACACGGCUAAGAGAUCAAUGAUCAAUUGUUGUGUCUAUGGGGUGCCCCCUGCCCCCAUAUAUAAGGGAGCAAGGGAGGGAGGCGGCCGGCCUAGGAGGAGGGCGCGCCAAGGGGGGAGUCCUACUCCCACCGGGAGUAGGACUCCUCCUUCCCUUGUUGGAGUAGGAGAGAAGGAAAGAGGGGGAGAGGAACAAGGAAAAGGGGGCUGCACCCCUUGUCCAAUUCGGACCAGAGGGGGGGGGGUGUGCGCCUCCUUCCUUUUGGCCUCUCUCCUCUAUUCCCGUAUGGCCCAAUAAGGGCCAUAUACUCCCCGGCGAAUUCCCGUAACUCUUCGGUACUCCAAAAAAUACCCGAAUCACUCGGAACCUUUCCGAUGUCCGAAUGUAGUCGUCCAAUAUAUCGAUCUUUAUGUCUCGACCAUUUCGAGACUCCUCGUCAUGUCCCCGAUCUCAUACGGGACUCCGAACUCCUUGGGUACAUCAAAACUCAUAAACUCAUAAUAUAACUGUAAUCGAAACCUUAAGCGUGCGGACCCUACGGGUUCGAGAACAAUGUAUACAUGACCGAGACACGUCUCCGGUCAAUAACCAAUAGCGGAACCUGGAUGCUCAUAUUGGCUCCCACAUAUUCUACGAAGAUUUUUAUCAGUCAGACCGCAUAACAACAUACGUUGUUCACUUUGUCAUCGGUAUGUUACUUGCCCGAGAUUCGAUCGUCGGUAUCUCAAUACCUAGUUCAAUCUCGUUACCGGCAAGUCUCUUUACUCGUUCCGUAAUACAUCAUCCCGCAACUAACUCAUUAGUUGCAAUGCUUGCAAGGCUUAAGUGAUGUGCAUUACCGAGAGGGCCUAGAGAUACCUCUCCGAUAAUCGGAGUGACAAAUCCUAAUCUCGAAAUAUGCCAACCCAACAAGUACCUUCGGAGACACCUGUAGAGCACCUUUAUAAUCACCCAGUUACAUUGUGACGUUUGGUAGCACACAAAGUGUUCCUCUGGUAAACAGGAGUUGCAUAAUCUCAUAGUCAUAUGAACAUGUAUAAGUCAUGAAGAAAGCAAUAGCAACAAACUAAACGAUCAAGUGCUAUGCUAAUGGAAUGGGUCAAGUCAAUCACAUCAUUCUCCUAAUGAUGUGAUCCCGUUAAUCAAAUGACAACUCAUGUCUAUGGUUAGGAAACAUUACCAUCCUUGAUUAACGAGCUAGUCAAGUAGAGGCAUACUAGUGACACUCUGUUUGUCUAUGUAUUCACACAUGUAUUAUGUUUCCGGUUAAUACAAUUCUAGCAUGAAUAAUAAACAUUUAUCAUGAUAUAAGGAAAUAAAUAAUAACUUUUUUAUUGCCUCUAGGGCAUAUUUCCUUCACAUAUCACAUCACAACAUGCCCUACAAAAACAAGUUAGACGUCCUCUACUUUGUUGUUUUAAGUUUUACGUGGCUGCUACGGGCUGAGCAAGAACCGUUCUUACCUACGCAUCAAAACCACAAUGAUAGUUCGUCAAGUUAGUGCUGUUUUCACCUUCUCAAGGACUGGGUGUAGCCACACUCGGUUCAACUAAAGUUGGAGAAAUUGACACCCGCCAGCCACCUGUGUGUAAAGCACGUCGGUAGAACCAAUCCCGCGUAAGCGUACGCGUAAUGUCAGUCCGGGCCGCUUCUGUUGGGAAACAUAGUAAUUUCAAAAAAAUUCCUACGCACACGCAAGAUCAUGGUGAUGCAUAGCAACAAGAGGGGAGAGUGUUGUCUACGUACCCUCGUAGACCAGAAGUGGAAGCAUUAGCACAACGCGGUUGAUGUAGUCGUACGUCUUCACGGCCCGACCGAUCAAGCACCGAAACUACGGUACCUCCGAGUUCUAGCACACGUUCAGCUCGAUGACGAUCCCCGGACUCCGAUCUAGCAGAAUGUCGGGGAAGAGUUUCGUCAGCACGACGGCGUGGUGAUGAUCUUGAUGUCCUACCGUUGUAGGGCUUCGCCUAAGCACCGCUACAAUAUUAUCGAGGAUUAUGGUGGAGGAGGGCACCGCACACGCCUAAUAGAUCUCAAGGAUCAAUUGUGUGUCUAGAGGUGCCCCCUGCCCCCGUAUAUAAAGGAGCAAGGGGGAGGGCGGCCGGCCAGGAGGAGGCGCGCCAGGGAGGAGUCCUACUCCUACCGGGAGUAGGACUCCCUCCUUUCCUUGUCCAACUAGGAGAGGAGGGAAGGAAGGGAGAGAGGAGAGAAAGGAAAGGGGGGGCGCCCCUCCCUCCUUGUCCAAUUCGUACUAGAGGGGGAGGGGGCACGUAGCCUGCCCUGGCCGCCCCUCCUCUGCUCCACUUUAGGCCCAUGAGGCCCAUUAACCCCCCCCCCCCGAGGGGGGGGGGUCCGGUAACCCCCGGUACUCUGUUUUAUAUCCGAUAACUCCCGGAACCAUUCCUGUGUCCGAAUAUAGUCGUCCAAUAUAUCAAUCUUUAUGUCUCGACUAUUUCAAGACUCCUCGUUAUGUCCGUGAUCACAUCCAGACUCCGAACAACCUUCGGUACAUCAAAAUAUAUAAACUCAUAAUGAAACUAUCAUCGUAACGUUAAGCGUGCGGACCCUACGGGUUCAAGAACAAUGUAGACAUGACCGAGACACGUCUCUGGUCAAUAACCAAUAGCAGAACCUGGAUGCUCAUAUUGGCUCCUACAUAUUCUACGAAGAUCUUUUAUCGGCCAGACCACAUAACAACAUACGUUGUUCCCUUUGUCAUCGGUAUGUUACUUGCCCGAGAUUUGAUCGUCGGUAUCUCAAUACCUAGUUCAAUCUCGUUAUCGGCAAGUCUCUUUACUCAUUCCGUAAUACAUCAUCCCGCAACUAACUUAUUAGUUGCAAUGCUUGCAAGGCUUAUGUGAUGUGCAUUACCGAGAGGGCCCAGAGAUACCUCUCCGACAAUCGGAGUGACAAAUCCUAAUCUCGAAAUACGCCAACCCAACAAGUACCUUCGGAGACACUUGUAGAGCACCUUUAUAAUCACCCAGUUACGUUGUGACGUUUGGUAGCACACAAAGUGUUCCUCCGGUAAACGGGAGUUGCAUAAUCUCAUAGUCAUAGGAACAUGUAUAAGUCAUGAAGAAAGCAAUAGCAACAAACUAAACGAUCAAGUGCUAAGCUAACAAAAUGGGUCAAGUCAAUCUCAUCAUUCUCCUAAUGAUGUGAUCCCGUUAAUCAAAUGACAACUCAUGUCUAUGGUUAGGAAACAUAACCAUCUUUGAUCAACGAGCUAGUCAAGUAGAGGCAUACUAGUGACACUAUGUUUGUCUAUGUAUUCACACAUGUAUUAUGUUUCCGGUUAAUACAAUUCUAGCAUGAAUAAUAAACAUUUAUCAUGAUAUAAGGAAAUAAAUAUUAACUUUAUUAUUGCCUCUAGGGCAUAUUUCCUUCAGUCUCCCACUUGCACUAGAGUCAAUAAUCUAGAUUACACAGUAAUGAUUCGGCCUUUUUCACUACUUUGACCCUUUUAGAAAACUUUCACACAAAAUGAACUCCACACAAAAAUAUUUUAUGAUCUGACCCUUUUGAUAACGCCACAAACCGCGGCGUUUCUUCUCUAUUUAGAAACGCCGAACUAGCUAGCGUUGCUCCAUUUCAUAAGUAAAUGAAAAUAUGAGCAAGCUACUUGCAAUGCCAACACCCAUGGCGUUUCAUGCAUGGGCACCAACACCAGCCAUGCUUGGCGUUUCCAGCAACGUGAGAUACUUUGGCGUUUAUGCCCUGCCACGUAGCUUCCUGACCAGGCCAGCAACGCUGGCUAGCUCGGCGUUUUCAGAUAGAGAAGAAACGCCAUGGCUUGUAGCGUUGUCAAAAGAGUCAGAUUGUGAAAUAGUUUUGUGUGGAGUUCAUUUUGUGCGGAAGUUUUCUAAAAGGAUCAAAAUAGUGAAAAGAGCCUAAUGAUUCUAACACCCAUGGAGCCUUGGUGCUGAUCAUGUUUUGCUCGUGGAAGAGGCUUAGUCAGCGGGUCUGCAACAUUCAGAUCCGUAUGUAUCUUGCAAAUUUCUGUCUCCCACUUGGACUAAAUCCCGAAUGGAAUUGAAGCGUCUCUUGAUAUGCUUGGUUCUCUUGUGAAAUCUGGAUUCCUUUGCCAAGGCAAUUGCACCAGUAUAGCCAGAAAAGAUUUUCAUUGCACCCGACGCACUAGGUAUGACACCUAGAUCGGAUAUGAACUCCUUCAUCCAGACUCCUUCAUUUGCUGCUUCCGAAGCAGCUAUGUACUCUGCUUCACAUGUAGAUCCCGCCACGACGCUUUGUUUAGAACUGAACCAAUUGACAGCUCCACCGUUCAGUAAAAACACGUAUCCGGCUUGCGGUUUAGAAUCGUCCGGAUCAGUGUCAAAGCUUGCAUCAACGUAACCAUUUACAAUGAGCUUUUUGUCACCUCCAUAUACGAGAAACAUAUCCUUAGUCCUUUUCAGGUAUUUCAGGAUGUUCUUGAUCGCUGUCCAGUGAUUCACUCCUGGAUUACUUUGGUACCUCCCUGCUAGACUUAUAGCAAGGCACACAUCAGGUCUGGUACACAGCAUUGCAUACAUGAUAGAGCCUAUGGCUGAAGCAUAGGGAACAUCUUUCAUUUUCUCUCUAUCUUCUGCGGUGGUCGGACAUUGAGUCUUACUCAACUUCACACCUUGUAACACAGGCAAGAACCGUUUCUUUGCUUGAUCCAUUUUGAACUUCUUCAAAACCUUGUCAAGGUAUGUGCUUUGUGAAAGUCCAAUUUAGCAUCUUGAUAUAUCUCUAUAGAUCUUAAUGCCCAAUAUGUAAGCAGCUUCACCGAGGUCUUUCAUUGAAAAACUCUUAUUCAAGUAUCCCUUUAUGCUUUCCAGAAAUUCUAUAUCAUUUCCAAUCAAUAAUAUGUCAUCCACAUAUAAUAUCAGUAAUGCCAUAGAGCUCCCACUCACUUUCUUGUAAAUACAGGCUUCUCCAAAACUCUGUACAAAACCAAAUGCUUUGAUCACACUAUCAAAGUGUUUAUUCCAACUCCGAGAGGCUUGCACCAGUCCAUAAAUGGAUCGUUGGAGCUUGCACACUUUGUUAGCUCCCUUUGGAUCGACAAAACCUUCUGGUUGCAUCAUAUACAACUCUUCUUCCAGAAAUCGAUUCAGGAAUGCAGUUUUGACAUCCAUUUGCCAAAUUUCAUAAUCAUAAAAUGCGGCAAUUGCUAACAUGAUUCAGAUAGACAUAAGCAUCGCUACGGGUGAGAAAGUCUCAUCGUAGUCAAUCCCUUGAACUUGUCGAAAACCUUUUGCAACAAGUCGAGCUUUAUAGACAGUAACAUUACCGUUAGCGUCAGUCUUCUUCUUGAAGAUCCAUUUAUUCUCAAUUGCCUACCGAUCAACGGGCAAGUCAACCAAAGUCCACACUUUGUUCUCAUACAUGGAUCCCAUCUCAGAUUUCAUGGCUUCUAGCCAUUUUGCGGAAUCUGGGCUCACCAUCGCUUCUUCAUAGUUCGUAGGUUCAUCAUGAUCAAGUAGCAUGACUUCUAGAACAGGUUACCGUACCACUCUGGUGCGGAUCUUACUCUGGUUGAUCUAGGAGGUUCGGUAGUAACUUGAUCUGAAGUUUCAUGAUCAUUAUCAUUAGCUUCCUCACUAAUUGGUGUAGGUGUCACAGAAACCAGUUUCUGUGAUGCACUACUUUCCAAUAAGGGAGUAGGUACAGUUACCUCAUCAAGUUCUACUUUUCUCCCACUCACUUCUUUCGAGAGAAACUCCUUCUCUAGAAAAACUCCGAAUUUAGCAACAAAAGUCUUGCCUUCGGAUCUGUGAUAGAAGGUGUACCCAACAGUCUCCUUUGGGUAUCCUAUGAAGACACAUUUCUCCGAUUUGGGUUCAAGCUUAUCAGGUUGAAGCUUUUUCACAUAAGCAUCGCAGCCCCAAACUUUCAGAAACGACAACUUUGGUUUCUUGCCAAACCACAGUUCAUAAGGCGUCGUCUCAACGGAUUUCGAUGGUGUCCUAUUUAACGUGAAUGCAGCCGUCUCUAAAGCAUAACCCCAAAAUGAUAACGGUAAGUCAGUAAGGACAUCAUAGAUCGCACCAUAUCUAAUAAAGUACGAUUACGACGUUCGGACACACAAUUACGCUGUGGUGUUCUGGGUGGCGUGAGUUGCGAAACUAUUCCGCAUUGUUUCAAAUGUAGACCAAACUCGUAACUGAAAUAUUCUCCUCUACGAUCAGAUCGUAGAAACUUUAUUUUCUUGUUACGAUGAUUUUCAACUUCACUCUGAAAUUCUUUGAACUUUUCAAAUGUUUCAGCCUUACGUUUCAUUAAGUAGAUAUACCCAUAUCUGCUUAAAUCAUUUGUGAAGGUGAGAAAAUAACGAUAUCCGCCACGAGCCUCAACAUUCAUUGGACCACAUACAUCUGUAUGUAUGAUUUCCAACAAAUCCGUUGCUCCCUCCAUAGUACCAGAGAACGGCAUUUUAGUCAUCUUACCCAUGAGGCAUGGUUCGCAAGUACCAAGUGAUUCAUAAUCAAGUGGUUCCAAAAGUCCAUCAGUAUGGAGUUUCUUCAUGCGCUUUACACCGACAUGACCUAAACGGCAGUGCCACAAAUAAGUUGCACUAUCAUUAUCAACUCUACAUCUUUUGAUUUCAACAUUAUGAAUAUGUGUAUCACUACUGUCGAGAUUCAUCAAAAAUAGACCACUCUUCAAGGGUGCAUGACCAUAAAAGAUAUUACUCAUAUAAAUAGAACAACCAUUAUUCUCUGAUUUAAAUGAAUAAUCGUCUCGCAUCAAACAAGAUCUAGAUAUAAUGUUCAUGCUCAAUGCUGGCACCAAAUAACAAUUAUUUAGGUCUAAUACUAAUCCCGAAGGUAGAUGUAGAGGUAGCGUGCCGACCGCGAUCACAUCGACUUUGGAACCAUUUCCCACGCGCAUCAUCACCUCGUCCUUAGCCAAUCUUCGCUUAAUCCGUAGCCCCUGUUUCGAGUUGCAAAUGUUAGCAACAGAACCGGUAUCAAAUACCCAGGUGCUACUGCGAGCAUUAGUAAGGUACACAUCAAUAACAUGUUUAUCACAUAUACCUUUGUUCACUUUGCCAUCCUUCUUAUCCGCCAAAUACUUGGGGCAGUUCUGCUUCCAGUGACUAGUCUUCUUGCAGUAGAAGCACUCAGUCUCAGGCUUAGGUCCAGACUUGGGUUUCUUCUCCUGAGCAGCAACUUGUUUGCUGUUCUUCUUGAAGUUCCCUUUCUUCUUCCCUUUGCCCUUUUUCUUGAAACUGGUGGUCUUAUUGACCAUCAACACUUGAUGCUCCUUCUUGAUUUCUACCUCCGCGGCUUUUAGCAUUGCGAAGAGCUCAGGAAUAGUCUUAUUCAUCCCUUGCAUAUUAUAGUUCAUCACGAAGCUUUCGUAGCUUGGUGGCAGUGAUUGAAGAACUCUGUCAAUGACACUAUCAACAGGAAGAUUAACCCCCAGUUGAGUCAAGUGAUUAUGAUACCCAGACAUUUUGAGUAUAUGUUCACUAACAGAACUAUUCUCCUCCAUCUUGCAGCUAUAGAACUUAUUGGAGACUUCAUAUCUCUCAGUCCGGGCAUUUGCUUGAAAUAUUAACUUCUACUCCUGGAACAUCUCAUAUGCUCUAUGACGUUCAAAACAUCGUUGAAGACCCGGUUCUAAGCCGUAAAGCAUGGCACACUGAACUAUCGAGUAGUCAUUAGCUUUGCUCUGCCAGACAUUCAUAACAUCUGGUGUUGCUCCUGCAGCAGGCUUGGCACUUAGCGGUGCUUCCAGGAAGUAAUUCUUCUGUGCAGCAAUGAGGAUAAUCCUCAAGUUACGAACCUAGUCCGUGUAAUUGCUACCAUAAUCUUUCAACUUUGCUUUCCCAAGGAACACAUUAAAAUUCAACGGAACAACAGCACGAGCCAUCUAUCUACAAUCAAACAUAGACAAGCAAGAUACUAUCAGGUACUAAGUUCAUGAUAAAUUUAAGUUCAAUUAAUCAUAUUAUUUAAGAACUCCCACUUAGAAAGAUAUCCCUCUAAUCCUCUAAGUGAUCACGUGAUCCAAAUCAACUAAACCAUGUCCGAUCAUCAUGUGAGAUGGAGUAGUAUCAAUGGUGAACAUCAAUAUGUUGAUCAUAUCUACUAUAUGAUUCACGCUCGACCUUUCGGUCUCCGUGUUCCGAGGCCAUAUCUGUUAUAUGCUAGGCUCAUCAAGUUAAACCUGAGUAUUCCGCGUGUGCAACUGUUUUGCACCCGCUGUAUUUCAACAUAGAGCCUAUCACACCCGAUCAUCACGUGGUGUCUCAGAACGAAGAACUUUCGCAACGAUGCAUACUCAGGGGGAACACUUAUACUUUGAUAAUUUAGUGAGGGAUCAUCUUAUAAUGCUACCGUCAAUCAAAGCGAGAUAAGAUGCAUAAAAGAUAAACAUCACAUGCAAUCAAUAUAAGUGAUAUGAUAUGGCCAUCAUCAUCUUGUGCUUGUGAUCUCCAUCUUCGAAGCACCGUCAUGAUCACCAUCGUCACCGGCGCGACACCUUGAUCUCCAUCAUAGCAUCGUUGUCGUCUCGCCAAUCUUAUGCUUCCACGACUAUCGCUACUGCUUAGUGAUAAAGUAAAGCAUUACAGCGCAAUUGCAUUGCAUACAAUAAAGCAACAACCAUAUGGCUCCUGCCAGUUGCUGAUAACUCGGUUACAAAAGAUGAUCGUCUCAUACAAUAAAAUUUAGCAUCUUGUCUUGACCAUAUCACAUCACAACAUCCCUGCAAAAACAAGUUAGACGUCCUCUACUUUGUUGUUGCAAGUUUUACGUGGCUGCUACGGGCUUAGCAAGAACUGUUCUUACCUACGCAUCAAAACCACAACGAUAGUUUGUCAAGUUGGUGCUGUUUUAACCUUCGCAAGGACCGGGCGUAGCCACACUUGGUUCAACUAAAGUUGGAGAAACUGACACCCGCCAGCCACCUGUGUGCAAAGCACGUCGGUAGAACAGUCUCACGUAAGCGUACGCGUAAUGUCGGUCCGGGCCGCUUCAUCCAUACCGCCGAACCAAAAGAAUGACAUGCUGGUAAGCAGUAUAACUUAUAUCACCCACAACUCACUUGUGUUAUACUCAUGCACAACAUCAACGCAUAAAACCUAGGCUCUGAUGCCACUGUAGGGGAACGUAGUAAUUUCAAAAAAUUUCCUACGCACACGCAAGAUCAUGGUGAUGCAUAGCAAUGAGAGGGGAGAGUGUUGUCUAUGUACCCUCGUAGACCGGAAGCGGAAGAGUUAGCACAACGCGGUUGAUGUAGUCGUACGUCUUCACGGCCCGACCAAUCAAGCACCGAAACUACGGCACCUCCGAGUUCUAGCACACGUUCAACUCAAUGACGAUCCCCGGACUCCGAUCCAGCAGAUUGUCGGGGAAGAGUUCCGUCAGCACGACGGCGUGGUGAUGAUCUUGAUGUUCUACCGUUGUAGGGCUUCGCCUAAGCACCGCUACAAUAUUAUCGAGGAUUGUGGUGGAGGAGGGCACCGCACACGCCUAAUAGAUCUCAAGGAUCAAUUGUGUGUCUAGAGGUGCCCCCUGCCCCCGUAUAUAAAGGAGCAAGGGGGAGGGCGGCCGGCCAGGAGGAGGCGCGCCAGGGAGGAGUCCUACUCCUACCGGGAGUAGGACUCCCUCCUUUCCUUGUCCAACUAGGAGAGGGGGAAGGAAGGGAGAGAGGAGAGAAAGGAAAGGGGGGCGCCGCCCCUCCCUCCUUGUCCAAUUCAGACUAGAGGGGGAGGGGGCGUGCAGCCUACCCUGGCCGCCCCUCCUCUGCUCCACUUUGGGCCCAUGAGGCCCAUUAACCCCCCCCCGGGGGGGGGGGGGUUCCGGUGACCCCCGGUACUCCGUUUUAUAUCCGAUAACUCCCGGAACCAUUCCUGUGUCCGAAUAUAGUCGUCCAAUAUAUCAAUCUUUAUGUCUCGACUAUUUCGAGACUCCUCGUUGUGUCCGUGAUCACAUCCGGGACUCCGAACAACCUUCGUUACAUCAAAAUAUAUAAACUCAUAAUGAAACUGUCAUCGUAAUGUUAAGCGUGCGGACCCUACGGGUUCGAGAACAAUGUAGACAUGACCGAGACACGUCUCCGGUCAAUAACCAAUAGCGGAACAUGGAUGCUCAUAUUGGCUCCUACAUAUUCUACGAAGAACUUUUAUCGGUCAGACCGCAUAACAACAUACGUUGUUCCCUUUGUCAUCGGUAUGUUACUUGCCCGAGAUUUGAUCGUCAGUAUCUCAAUACCUAGUUCAAUCUCGUUACCGGCAAGUCUCUUUACUCGUUCCGUAAUACAUCAUCCCGCAACUAACUUAUUAGUUGCAAUGCUUUCAAUGCUUAUGUGAUGUGCAUUACCGAGAGGGCCCAGAGAUACCUCUCCGACAAUCGGAGUGACAAAUCCUAAUCUCGAAAUACGCCAACCCAACAAGUACCUUCGGAGACACCUGUAGAGCACCUUUAUAAUCACCCAGUUACGUUGUGACGUUUGGUAGCACACAAAGUGUUCCUCCGGUAAACGGGAGUUGCAUAAUCUCAUAGUCAUAGGAACAUGUAUAAGUCAUGAAGAAAGCAAUAGCAACAAACUAAACGAUCAAGUGCUUAGCUAACGAAAUGGGUCAAGUCAAUCACAUCAUUCUCCUAAUGAUGUGAUCCCGUUAAUCAAAUGACAACUCAUGUCUAUGGUUAGGAAACAUAACCAUCUUUGAUCAACGAGCUAGUCAAGCAGAGGCAUGCUAGUGACACUAUGUUUGUCUAUGUAUUCACACAUGUAUUAUGUUUCCGGUUAAUACAAUUCUAGCAUGUAUAAUAAACAUUUAUCAUGAUACAAGGAAAUAAAUAAUAACUUUAUUAUUGCCUCUAGGGCAUAUUUCCUUCAGCUUCAUCCAACAAUACCGCCGAACCAAAGUAUGACAUGCUGGUAAGAACUAUGACUUGUAUCGCCCACAACUCACUUGUGUUCUACUCGUGCAUAUAACAUCAACACAUAAAAUCAAGCUCGGAUGCCACUGUUGGGGAAUGUAGUAAUUUCAAAAAAAAAUCCUACGCACACGCAAUAUCAUGGUGAUGCAUAACAAUGACAGGGGAGAGUGUGUCCACGUACCCUCGUAGACCGAAAGCGGAAGCGUUAGCACAACACGGUUGAUGUAGUCAUACGUCUUCACGAUCCGACCGAUCAAGUACCGAACGCACGGCACCUCCGAGUUCUGCACACGUUCAACUCGAUGUCGUCCCUCGAACUCCAAUCCAGCCGAGCUUUGAGGGAGAGUUCUACCUCUUGAGCUUGCGUUGGUUUUCCCAGAAGAGGAAGGGAUGAUGCAACAGAGUAGCGUAAGUAUUUCCCUUAGUUUUUGAGAACCAAGGUAUCAAUCUAGUAGGAGGCCACGCUCAAGUCCCUCGUACCUGCACAAAACGAUAGCUACUCGCAACCAACGCGAUUAGGGGUUGUCAAUCCCUUCACGGUCACUUACGAGAGUGAGAUCUGAUAGAUAUAAUAUUUUUGGUAUUUUUGGUAUGAAGAUGCAAAGUAAAAAGUAAAGGCAAAGUAAAAAAGCAAAGCAAGAUUAAAGUGAUGGAGAUUGAUAUGAUGAGAAUAGACCCGGGGGCCAUAGGUUUCACUAGUGGCUUCUCUCAAGAGCAUAAGUAUUCUACGAUGGGUGAACAAAUUACUGUUGAGCAAUUGACAGAAUUGAGCAUAGUUAUGAGAAUAUCUAGGCAUGAUCAUGUAUAUAGGCAUCACGUCCGUGACAAGUAGACCGAAACGAUUCUGCAUCUACUACUAUUACUCCACUCAUCGACCGCUAUCCAGCAUGCAUCUAGAGUAUUAAGUUAAAAACAGAGUAACGCCUUAAGCAAGAUGACAUGAUGUAGAGAGAUAAAUUCAUGCAAUAUGAAAUAAACCCCAUCUUGUUAUCCUCGAUGGCAACGAUACUAUACGUGCCUUGCCGCCCCUUCUGUCACUGGGAAAGGACACCGCAAGAUCGAACCCAAAGCUAAGCACUUCUCCCAUGGCAAGAACUACCAAUCUAGUUGGCCAAAUCAAACGAAUAAUUCGAAGAGACUUGCAAAGAUAACCAAUCAUACAUAAAAGAAUUCAGAGAAGAUUCAAAUAUUAUUCAUAGAUAGACUUGAUCAUAAACCCACAAUUCAUCGGUCUCAACAAACACACCACAAAAAGAAGAUUACAUCGAAUAGAUCUCCACGAGAGAGGGGGAGAACUUUGUAUUGAGAUCCAAAAAGAGAGAAGAAGCCAUCUAGCUACUAACUAUGGACCCGAAGGUCUAAGGUAAACUACUCACACUUCAUCGGAGGGGCUAUGAUGAUGUAGAAGCCCUCCGUGAUGACGGCCCUCUCCGGCGGAGCUCCGAAACAGGCCCCUAGAUGGGAUCUCAUGGAUACAGAAAGUUGCGGCGGUGCAAUUAGGAUUUUGGCUCCGUAUCUGUUCGUUUGGCGGUACGUAGGUAUAUAUAGGGGGAAGGAGUACGUCCGUGGAGCAUCGAGGGGCCCACAAGGCAGGGGGGCGCUCCCUAGGGGGGGUGCCCCCCACCCUCAUGACCGUCUCUUUGACUCCUUGGAGUAGGGUCCAAGUCUCCUGGAUCACGUUCAGCGAGAAAAUCACGUCCCCGAAGGUUUUAUUCCGUUUGGACUCCGUUUGAUAUUCCGUUUCUUCGAAACACUAAAAUAGGCAAAAAAAAUAGCAAUUCUGGGUUGGGCCUCCGGUUAAUAGGUUAGUCCCAAAAAUAAUAUAAACGUGUAAAAUAAAGCCCAAUAUAGUCCAAAACAGUAGAUAAUAUAGCAUGGAGCAAUCAAAAAUUAUAGAUACGUUGGAGACGUAUCAGGCAUCCCCAAGCUUAAUUCCUGCUCGUCCUCGAGUAGGUAAAAGAUAAAAAGAGAAUUUUUGAUGCGGAGUGCUACUUGGCAUAAUUUAAAUGCAAAUCUUCUUAAUUGUGGUAUGAAUAUUCAGAUUAGGAAGAUUCAAGACAAAAGUUCAUAUUGACAUAAAGAAUAAUAAUACUUCAAGCAAACCAACAAAGCAAUUAUGUUUUCUUAAAGUGACAUGGCCAAAGAAAGUUCAUCCCUACAAAAUCAUAUAGUUUAGUCAUGCUACAUUUUCGUCACACAAGAAUGCUCUCAUCAUGCACAACCCUGAUGACAAGCCAAGCAAUUGUUUCAUACCUUAAUAAUUUCAAACUCAUAAACUUUCACGCAAUACAUGAGCGUGAGCCAUGGAUAUAGCACUAUGGGUGGAAUAGAAUGAUGGUGGGGGUUAUGUGGAGAAGACAAAAAAGGAGAAAGUCUCACAUCAACGAGGCUAAUCAAUGGGCUAUGGAGAUGCCCAUCAAUUGAUGUUAAUGCAAGGAGUAGGAAUUGCCAUGCAACAGAUGCACUAGAGCUAUAAAUGUAUGAAAGCUCAACAAAAUAAACUAAGUGGGUGUGCAUCCAACUUGCUUGCUCACGAAGACCUAGGGCACUUGAGGAGGCCCAUUGUUGGAAUAUACAAGCCAAGUUCUAUAAUGAAAAUUCCCACUAGUAUAUGAAAGUGAUAACUCAAGAGACUCUUUAUAUGAAGAACAUGGUGCUACUUUGAAGCACACGUGUGGAAAAAGGAAUAGUAGCAUUGUCCAUUUUUAUUUUUUUUUUAUUUUUUUUGGGCCUUCUUUUUUUUCUUUGGCCUUUCUCUUUUUUUGGGACAAUGCUCUAUUAAAUGAUGAUCAUCACACUUUUAUUUAUUUACAACUCAAUGAUUACAACUUGAUUCUAAAACAAAGUAUGACUCUAUAUGGAUGCCUCCGGCGGUGUACCGGGAUAGGCAAUGAAUCAAGAGUGACAAGUAUGAAAAAAUUAUGAAUGGUGGCUUUGCCACAAAUACUAUGUCAACUACAUGAUCAUGCUAAGCAAUAUGACAAUGAUGGAUGUGUCAUGAUAAACUGGAUGGUGGAAAGUUGCAUGGCAAUAUAUCUUGGAAUGGCUAUGGAAAUGCCAUAAUAGGUAGGUGUUGGGGAACGUAGCAUAAAUUCAAAAUUUUCCUACGUGUCACCAAGAUCUAUCUAUGGAGUCAUCUAGCAACGAGGGAGGAGUGGAUCUACAUACCCUUGUAGAUCGUGCGCGGAAGCGUUCAAGAGAACGGGGUUGAUGGAGUCGUACUCGUCGUGAUCCAAAUCACCGAUGAUCCUAGCGCCGAACGGACAACAUCUCCGCGUUCAAGACCCAUAUGGAGCAGCGACGUCUCCUCCUUCUUGAUCCAGCAAGGGGGGAGGAGAGGUUGAUGGAGAUCCAGCAGCACGACGGCGUGGUGGAAGUAGCGGGAUUCCAACAGGGCUUCGCCAAGCGCUGCGGGAGGAGGGAGAUGUGUCAUGGGAGGGAGAGGGAGGCGCCAGGGCUUAGGUAUGGUUGCCCUCCCUUCCCCCCACUAUAUAUAGGGCCAAGGGAGAGGGGGGAGGCGCAGCCUUGGCCCUUCCUCCAAGGAAGGGUGCAGCUAGGGAGGAGUCCUUCCUCCCCAAGGCACCUCGGAGGUGCCUUCCCCCUUUAGGACUCUUCCUUUCCCCUCUUCUCUUGGCGCAUGGGCCUCUUGGGGCUGGUGCCCUUGGCCCAUAUAGGCCAAGGCGCACCCCCUACAGCCCAUGUGGCCCCCCGGGGUAGGUGGCCCCACCCGGUGGACCCCCGGGACCCUUCCGGUGGUCCCGGUACAAUACCGGUGACCCCGAAACUUGUCCCGAUGGCCGAAAUAGCACUUCCUAUAUAUAAUUCUUUACCUCCGGACCAUUCCGGAACUCCUCGUGACGUACGGGAUCUCAUCCGGGACUCCGAACAACUUUCGGGUUACCGCAUACUAAUAUCUCUAUAACCCUAGCGUCACCGAACCUUAAGUGUGUAGACCCUACGGGUUUGGGAGACAUGCAGACAUGACCGAGAUGACUCUCCGGUCAAUAACCAACAGCGGGAUCUGGAUACCCAUGUUGGCUCCCACAUGUUCCAUGAUGAUCUCAUCGGAUGAACCACGAUGUCAAGGACUUAAUCAAUCCCGUAUACAAUUCCCUUUGUCUAGUGGUACGAUACUUGCCCGAGAUUCGAUCGUCGGUAUCCCGAUACCUUGUUCAAUCUCGUUACCGGCAAGUCUCUUUACUCGUUCCGUAACACAUCAUCCCAUGAUCAACUCCUUGAUCACAUUGUGCACAUUAUAAUGAUGUCCUACUGAGUGGGCCCAGAGAUACCUUUCCGUCACACGGAGUGACAAAUCCCAGUCUCGAUUCGUGCCAACCCAACAGACACUUUCGGAGAUACCUGUAGUGUACCUUUAUAGCCACCCAGUUACAUUGUGACGUUUGGCACACCCAAAGCACUCCUACGGUAUCUGGGAGUUGCACAAUCUCAUGGUCUAAGGAAAUGAUACUUGACAUUAGAAAAGCUUUAGCAUACGAACUACACGAUCUAGUGCUAUGCUUAGGAUUGGGUCUUGUCCAUCACAUCAUUCUCCUAAUGAUGUGAUCCCGUUAUCAAUGACAUCCAGUGUCCAUGGUCAGGAAACCGUAACCAUCUAUUGAUCAACGAGCUAGUCAACUAGAGGCUUACUAGGGACAUGGUGUUGUCUAUGUAUCCACACAUGUAUCUGAGUUUCCUAUCAAUACAAUUAUAGCAUGGAUAAUAAAUGAUUAUCAUGAACAAGGAAAUAUAAUAAUAACUAAUUUAUUAUUGCCUCUAGGGCAUAUUUCCAACAGUCUCCCACUUGCACUAGAGUCAAUAAUCCAGUUCACAUCGAUAUGUGAUUAACACUCAAGGUCACAUCCCCAUGUGACUAACACCCAAAGAGUUCUGGGUUUGAUCAUGUUAUGCUUGUGAGAUAGGUUAUAGUCAACGGGUCUGAACCUUUCAGAUCCGUGUGUGCUUUACAAAUCUCUAUGUCAUCUCCUAGAUGCAGCUACCACACUCUAUUUGGAGCUAUUCCAAACAACUGUUCUACUCGGAGCUAUACUAAAUUGUUGCUCCAUUAUACGUAUCCGGUAUCUCUACUCAGAGCUAUCCGGAUAGGUGUUAAGCUUGCAUCGACGUAACUCUUUACGUCAAACUCUUUUUCACCUCCAUAACCGAGAAAAUUCCUUAGUCCACUAGUUACUAAGGAUAACUUUGACCGAUGUACUGUGAUCCAUUCUUGGAUCACUCUUGUACCCCUUAACUGACUCAUGGCAAGGCACACUUUAGGUGCGGUACACAGCAUAGCAUACUGUAGAGUCUAUGUCUUAAGCAUAGGGGACGACCCUCGUCCUUUCUCUCUAUUCUGUCGUGGUCGAGCUUUAAGUCUUAACUUCAUACCUUACAACUCAGGCAAGAACUCCUUCUUUGACUGAUCCAUCUUGAACACCUUCAAGGUCAUGUCAAGGAAUGUGCUCAUUUGAAAGUACCAUUAAGCGUUUUGAUCUAUCCUUAUAGAUCUUGAUGCUCAAUGCUCAAGUAGCUUAAUCCAGGUUUUCCAUUGAAAAACACUUUCCAAAUAACCCUAUAUGCUUUCCAGAAAUUCUACGUCAUUUCUGAUCCAUAAUAUGUCAACAACAUAUACUCAUCAGAAAUUCUAUAGUGCUCCCACUCACUUCUUUGGAAAUACAAGUUUCUCAUAAACUUUGUAUACACCAAAAUCUUUGAUCAUCAUCAAAGCAUACAUUCCAACUCCGAGAUGCUUACUCCAGUCCUUAGAAGGAUUGCUGGAGCUUUGCAUACUUAUUAGCAUCUUUCAGGAUUGACAAAACCUUCCGGUUGUAUCACAUACAACCAUUCCUCAAGAAAAUCAUCGAGGAAACAAUGUUUUGACAUCCUAUCUGCAAGAUUUCAUAAAUAAUGCAGUAAUCGCUAAUAUAAUUCCAACAGACUCUUAGCAUCGCUACGAGUGAGAAAGUCUCACCGUAGUCAACUCCUUGAACUUGUCAGAAAACAUCUUAACGACAAGUCGAGCUUUCUUAAUGGUGACAUUUACCAUCAUUGUCCGUCUUCCUUUUAAAAUCCAUCUGUACUCAACAGCCUCACGACCAUCGAGCUGUUCUGUCGAAGUCUACACUUUGUUUCCAUACAUGGAUCCUCUCUCGGAUUUUAUGGCCUCGAGCCAUUUAUCGGAAUCCGGGCCCACCAUCGCUUCUCCACAGCUUGUAGGCUCAUUGUUGUCUAGCAACAUGACUUCCAUGACAGGAUUACGUACCACUCAGAAGUAGUACGCAUCCUUGUCAUCCUACGAGGUUUGGGAGUGACUUGAUCCGAAGUCUCAUGAUCAAUAUCAUAAGCUUCCACUUCAAUUGGUGUAGUUGCCACAGGAACAACUCUUUGUGCCCUGCUAUACACUAGUUGAAGUAACGGUUCAAUAACCUCAUCAAGUCUCCACCAUCCCCCACUCAAUUCUUUUGAGAGAAACUUUUCCUCGAGAAAGGACCCGAUUCUUGAAACAAUCCCUUAUUGCUUUCGGAUCUGAGACAGGAGGUAUACCCAACUGUUUUUGGUUGUCCUAUGAAGAUGCAUUUAUCCGCUUUGGGUUCGAGCUUAUCAGCCUGAAACUUUUUCACAUAAGCGUCGCAGCCCCAAACUUUUAAGAAAUGACAGCUUAGGUUUCUCUAAACCAUAGUUCAUACGGUGUCAUCUCAUCGGAAUUACGUGGUGCCCUAUUUAUAGUGAAUGUGGUUGUCUCUAAUGCCUAACCCAUAAAACUAUUGUGGUAAUUCAAUGAGAGACAUCAUGGUAUGCAUCAUAUCCAAUAGGGUGCAGUUAUGAUGUUCGAACACACCAUCACACUAUGGUGUUCUAGGCUGUAUUAGUUGUGAAACAAUUUCCACAAUGUCUUAAUUCUGUGCCAAAUUCGUAAUUCAGAUAUUCAUCUCUAUGAUCAUAUCAUAGAUACUUCAUCCUCUUGUCACGAUGAUCUUUCGACUUCACCCUGAAAUUACUUGAACCUUUCAAUAAUUCAGACUCAUGAUUCAUCAAGUAAAUAUACUCAACAUCUACUCAAAUCAUCUGUGAAGUAAGAACAUAACGAUAUCCACUACAUGCCUCAGCACUCAUUGGACUGCACACAUCAAAAUGUAUUACUUCCAACAAGUUGCUUUCCAGUUCCAUUUUACUGAAACCGAGGCUUUCAGUCAUCUUGCCCAUGUGGUAUGAUUUGCAUGUCCCAAGUGAUUCAAAAUCAAGUGAGUCAAAACGGUCCAUUUGCAUGGAGUUUCUUCAUGCAUAUACACCAGUAGACAUGGUUCGCAUGUCUCAAACUUUUCAAAAACGAGUGAGCCCAAAGAUCCAUCAACAUGGAGCUUCUUCAUGCGCUUUAUACCGAUAUGACUUACGUGGAAGUGCCACAAGUAGGUGGUACUAUCAUUACUAUAUUUUGGCAUGAACAUGUGUAUCACUACGAUCGAGAUUCAAUGAACCAUUCAUUUUAGGUGCAAGACCAUUGAAGGUAUUAUUCAAAUAAACAGAGUAACCAUUAUUCUCCUUAAAUGAAUAACCGUAUUGCGAUAGACAUAAUCCAAUCAUGUCUAUGCUCAACACAAACACCAAUCUCGAUGGUAGAGGGAGCGUACGAUAUUUGAUCAUAUCAAUAUUGGAAACACUUCCAACACAUAUCGUCAGCUCACCUUUAGCUAGUCUCCGUUUAUUCCAUAGCUUUUUGUUUCGAGUUACUAACACUUAGCAACCGAACCGGUAUCUAAUACCCUGGUGCUACUAGGAGUACUAGUAAAGUACACAUUAGCAUAAUGUAUAUCCAAUAUACUUCUAUCGAUAGCCUUCUCAUCUACCAAGUAUCUAGGGUAAUUCUGCUCCAGUGGCUGUUCCCCUUAUUACAGAAGCACUUAGUCUCGGGUUUGGGUUCAACCUUGGGUUUCUUCACUAGAGCAGCAGCUGAAUUGCCGUUUCAUGAAGUAUCCCUUCUUGCCCUUGCCCUUCUUGAAACUAGUGGUUUCACCAACCAUCAACAAUUGACGCUCCUUCUUGAUUUCUACUUCUGUGGUGUCAAACAUUGUGAAUAUCUCAAGGAUCAUCAUAUAUGUCCCUGAUAUAUUAUAGUUCAUCACGAAGCUCUAGCAUCUUGGUGGUAAUGACUUCAGAGAAACAUCAUUAUCUCAUCUGGAAGAUCAACUCCCACUCGAUUCAAAUGAUUGUUGUACUCAGACAAUCUGAGCACAAGCUCAACGAUUGAGCUUUUCUCCCUUAGUUUGUGGGCUAAGAGAAUCGUCGGAGGUCUUAUACCUCUUGACGUGGGCACGAGCCUGAAAUUCCAAUUUCAGCCCUCGAAACAUCUCAUAUGUUUCGUGACGUUUCAAAACCGUCUUUGGUGCCUCAACUCUAAACCGUUUAACUGAACUAUCACGUAGUUAUCAAAAUGUGUAUGUCAGAUGUUCGCAACAUCCACAGACAACGUUCGAGGUUCAGCACACUGAGCGGUGCAUUAAGGACAUAAGCCUUCUAUGAAGCAAUGAGGACAAUCCUCAGUUUACGGACCUAGUCCGCAUAAUAGCUACUAUCAACUUUCAACUAAAUUUUCUCUAGGAACAUAUCUAAACAGUAGAACUGACGCGCGAGCUACAACAUAAUUUGCGAAGACCUUUUGACUAUGUUCAGGAUAAUUAAGUUCAUCUUAUGAACUCCCACUUAGAUAGACAUCCCUCUAGUCAUCUAAGUGAUUACAUGAUCCGAGUCAACUAAGCCGUGUCCGACCAUCACGUGAGACGGACUAGUCAACAUCGGUGAACAUCUUCAUGUUGAUCGUAUCUUCUAUACGACUCAUGCUCGACCUUUCGGUCUUCUGUGUUCCGAGGCCAUGUCUAUGCACAUGCUAGGCUCGUCAAGUUAACCCUAAGUGUUCUGCAUGUGUAAAACUGUCUUACACCCGUUGUAUGUGAACGUAAGGAUCUAUCACACCCGAUCAUCACGUGGUGCUUCGAAACGACGAACUUUAGCAACGGUGCACAGUUAGGGGAGAACACAUUCUUGAAACUGUAAUGAGGGAUCAUCUUAUUUACUACCGUCGUUCUAAGCAAAUAAGAUGUAUAAACAUGAUAAACAUCACAUGCAAUCAAAUAAUAGUGACAUGAUAUGGCCAAUAUCAUAUAGCUCCUUUGAUCUCCAUCUUGGGGCUCCAUGAUCAUCUUGUCACCGGCAUGACACCAUGAUCUCCUUCAUCAUGAUCUCCAUCAUCGUGUCUUCUUGAAGUUGUCUCGUCAUCUAUUACUUCUACUACUAUGGCUAACGCUUUAGCAAUAAAGUAAAGUAAUUACAUGACGUUUAAGUUGACACGCAGGUCAUAAAUAAAUAAAGACAACUCCUAUGGCUCCUGCCGGUUGUCAUACUCAUCGACAUGCAAGUCGUGAUUCCUAUUACAAGAACAUGAUCAAUCUCAUACAUCACAUAUAUCAUUCAUCACAUCCUUUGGCCAUAUCACAUCACAUAGCAUACCCUGCAAAAACAAGUUAGACGUCCUCUAAUUGUUGUUUGCAUGUUUUACGUGGCUGCUAUGGGUUUCUAGCAAGAACGUUUCUUACCUACGCAAAUACCACAACGUGAUAUGCCAAUUGCUAUUUACCCUUCAUAAGGACCCUUUUCAUCGAAUCCGAUCCGACUAAAGUGGGAGAGACAGACACCCGCUAGCCACCUUAUGCAACUAGUGCAUGUCAGUUGGUGGAACCUGUCUCACGUAAGAGUACGUGUAAGGUCGGUCCGGGCCGCUUCAUCCCACGAUGCCGCUGAAUCAAUAUAAGACUAGUAACGGCAAGCAUAUUGAACAAAAUCAACGCCCACAACUACUUUGUGUUCUACUCGUGCAUAGAAACUACGCAUAAACCUAGCUCAUGAUGCCACUGUUGGGGAAUGUAGCAUAAAUUCAAAAUUUUCCUACGUGUCACCAAGAUCUAUCUAUGGAGUCAUCUAGCAACGAGGGAGGAGUGGAUCUACAUACCCUUGUAGAUCGCGCGCGGAAGCAUUCAAGAGAACGGGUACUCGUCGUGAUCCAAAUCACCGAUGAUCCUAGCGCCGAACGGACGGCACCUCCACGUUCAACACACGUACGGAGCAGCGACGUCUCCUCCUUCUUGAUCCAACAAGGGGGGAGGAGAGGUUGAUGGAGAUCCAGCAGCACGACGGCAUGGUGGAAGUAGCGGGAUUCCAACAGGGCUUCGCCAAGCGCUGCGGGAGGAGGGAGAUGUGUCAUGGGAGGGAGAGGGAGGCGCCAGGGCUUAGGUAUGGUUGCCCUCCCUUCCCCCCACUAUAUAUAGGGCCAAGGGAGAGGGGGGAGGCGCAGCCUUGGCCCUUCCUCCAAGGAAGGGUGCGGCUAGGGAGGAGUCCUUCCUCCCCAAGGCACCUCGGAGGUGCCUUCCCCCUUUAGGACUCUUCCUUUCCCCUCUUCUCUUGGCGCAUGGGCCUCUUGGGGCUGGUGCCCUUGGCCCAUAUAGGCCAAGGCGCACCCCCUACAGCCCAUGUGGCACCCCGAGGUAGGUGGCCCCACCCGGUGGACCCCCGGGACCCUUCCGGUGGUCCCGAUACAAUACCGGUGACCCCAAAACUUGUCCCGAUGGCCGAAAUAGCACUUCCUAUAUAUAAUUCUUUACCUCCGGACCAUUCCGGAACUCCUCGUGACGUCCGAGAUCUCAUCCGGGACUCCUAACAACUUUCAGGUUACCGCAUACUAAUAUCUCUAUAACCCUAGCGUCACCGAACCUUAAGUGUGUAGACCCUACGGGUUCGGGAGACAUGCAGACAUGACCGAGAUGACUCUCCGGUCAAUAACCAACAGCGGGAUCUGGAUACCCAUGUUGGCUCCCACAUGUUCUAUGAUGAUCUCAUCGGAUGAACCACGAUGUCAAGGACUUAAUCAAUCCCGUAUACAAUUCCCUUUGUCUAGCGGUACGAUACUUGCCCGAGAUUCGAUCGUCGGUAUCCCGAUACCUUGUUCAAUCUCGUUACCGGCAAGUCUCUUUACUCGUUCCGUAACACAUCAUCCCGUGAUCAACUCCUUGAUCACAUUGUGCACAUUAUAAUGAUGUCCUACCGAGUGGGCCCAGAGAUACCUGUCCAUCACACGGAGUGACAAAUCCCAGUCUCGAUUCGUGCCAACCCAACAGACACUUUCGGAGAUACCUGUAGUGUACCUUUAUAGCCACCCAGUUACGUUGUGACGUUUGGCACACCCAAAGCACUCCUACGGUAUCCGGGAGUUGCACAAUCUCAUGGUCUAAGGAAAUGAUACUUGACAUUAGAAAAGCUUUAGCAUACGAACUACACGAUCUAGUGUUAUGCUUAGGAUUGGGUCUUGUCCAUCACAUCAUUCUCCUAAUGAUGUGAUCCCGUUAUCAAUGACAUCCAAUGUCCAUGGUCAGGAAACCGUAACCAUCUAUUGAUCAACGAGCUAGUCAACUAGAGGCUUACUAGGGACAUGGUGUUAUCUAUGUAUCCACACAUGUAUCUGAGUUUCCUAUCAAUACAAUUAUAGCAUGGAUAAUAAACGAUUAUCAUGAACAAGGAAAUAUAAUAAUAACUAAUUUAUUAUUGCCUCUAGGGCAUAUUUCCAACAGUAGGUAUGGUGGCUGUUUUGAGGAAGAUAUAAGGAGGUUUAUGUGUGACAGAGCGUAUCAUAUCAUGGGGUUUGGAUGCACAGGCGAAGUUUGCACCAACUCUCAAGGUGAGAAAGGGCAAUGCACGGUACCGAAGAGGCUAGCAAUGAUGGAAGGGUGAGAGUGCGUAUAAUCCAUGGACUCAACAUUAGUCAUAAAGAACUCAUAUACUUAUUGCAAAAAUCUACAAGACAUCAAAAACCAAAGUAUUACGCGCAUGCUCCUAGGGGGAUAGAUUGGUAGCAAAAGACCAUCGCUCGUCCCCGACCGCCACUCAUAAGGAGGACAAUCAAAUAACACCUCAUGUUUCAAAUUUGUUGCAUAACGUUUACCAUAUGUGCAUGCUACGGGACUUGCAAACUUUAACUCAAGCACUUCUCAAAUUCACAAUUACUCUACUAGCAUGACUUUGAUAUUACUACCUCGAUAUCUCAAAACAAUUAUCAAGCAUCCAACUUUUCUUAGUAUUCAACACACUCAAAAGAAAGUUUCACAAAUCUUGAAUACCAAUCAUGUUAUUAUUAAGAAAAUUACCAUGCUAUUAAGACUCUCAAAAUAAUUUAAGUGAAUAAUGAGAGAUCAAUAGUUUCUUUAAAACAAAUCCACCACCGUGCUCUAAAAGAUCUAAGUGAAGCACAUAGAGCAAAAUUACUUAGCUCAAAAGAUGUAAGUGAAGCACAUAGAGUACUCUAUCAAAUUUUAAUUCAUGUAUGGCUCUCUAAAAAGGUGUGUACAGCAAGGAUGAUUGUGGCAUACUAAAACACAAAGACAAAAAUAAUAC
rnacentral:lncRNA from 1 species